rnacentral:lncRNA from 1 species
GUGUCAUCAAAUUUGAACCCUCUGCUGAUGGAGGUUCAAUCUGCAAAACCACUAACACAUACUACCCCAAAGGUGGUGCUCAGAUCGGUGAGGAACACCUCAAGGGAGGAAAAGAGAUGGGUUUGGGAAUGGUUAAGGCUGUUGAGGCUUACCUCCAUGCAAAUCCUACUGCCUACAACUAAUUAUAAUGAAUGCUACUGAAGGACUCUUCGACAUAUUUUCUUCAAGAUUGAAGUACACACUGAGGGUGUGUUUCCUUUUUUGCUUGGUUUGCUUUAAGCUGUUUGGUUAAGUUAAAAACAAAAUUGAAUCAUAGAGAGAACAAAAAAAAUAUAGUGUUUCUUAUGGAGAAAAAAAUGGAGCUGAUGCCUAAAAUCUCACAUGGAUCCAACAAGGAUAUGCUCAAAGUUGGAAAAAUGUGCUAUAAUUAUGAUUACUCCUUUAUGAAAUAAAGCUGAAAGCAGCUCAAUUUCUUUUUGUUUUCCAUAUUAUUCAAUUUCGUUGUCGAUUUUUGAUAGUUGUAUUUUUUUUAUUGCUUUAAUAAGGGCUAUGAUUGGAUAUCCUGUUAUGCCAUUGGCUGUCGAUGCUAAACCUGAUAAAUUAGAUGGAUCAUCCAAAUAAAGACAAAAUUGGCUAUGUAAACAUUGGUGAGGGACUAUUUCAGCUUAAGAAAAAUAGUUGAGGGACUAAAUUGGCUUAUAAUAAAAUUAGGGACUACUUCAGCUUUGUAAAAAUAGUUGAGAGACUAAAUUGACUCAUAAAAAGUUUAGGGACUAUUUUGACAUUAACGAAAUAGUUUUGAGACUAUAAACAUUAGGUCACAAUGUUGAAAUAUCAAAACCCAUGUUUGGGACCAAAACUCAUAGAACUUCUUCACGUCGCUAGCGAAAUUUGAUUCUGAAGUAAUGCUAAUUUUAUUUAUUAUUUGUUUCCUUGCUGGUCUUCUGUCUUUUUGGUUACAAUAUUAAAAUGUAUCCAUAAUUUUCAAUUCCAAAAGUGUUGAAUAUUUAAACGAAUUCUAGAAAGGGCACUGAGAGUCAAAAUCUUAUUCAAACAGCCAGCCAUCUCAGAGUACAUAUUUUUUUAUUAUCAGGUUCAAAAUGUAUCUAUUGCAAUUUUUGAAUGAUCAGCCAUGACUAAGAGAAUAAAAUAAUUCACUUGCUGUUUUUAGAUGUGAAUUCAUGACUGUCAGUAGUCUAUAAAUACACUUAUUGCUCACCACUCUUUGCACCGCAAAAUCUUUUCAAGAUCUAUCAAACCCUCCUGUUCUUGAUCUUUGUCCAUUUGUGAAAAAGCAAAUUAAAGCAUCAUGGCCUCUAUCACUUGUAGUGCUGAGAUGACCUCCCCAAUCCCUCCUGCAAGGUUGUUCAAGGCCGCCAUCCUUGAUGACCACCUUCUUCCCAAGAUCAUGCCACAGGCUAUUAAGAGUGGAAAUCCUUGAAGGAGAUGGUGGAGUUUGAACCAUUAAGUUGAGCACAUUUGGUGAAGGUUAGCAGUUAUAUUAAAUGUAGAACCCAAAUUUUAAGGAUCUAAUAAUAAUCAAUGCGUGCAGGGUUACAGAAUUGGAGGGAUAAAAUAAAUACUCAAAAUAUACGUGGAAGAAAAGAAAAUAAUAAAUUCAACUCAUAAUAUUAUUGAAAUUUCAAACAAUGAAGAAAAUCAUACCACAAUAAAUUCAGCUGGUUCUAAUAAUAAUCAAAGCAUACAAGGUUGCAGAAUUAAAAGGAUAAAACAAACACUCAAAAUAUAUGUGGGAGAGAAGAAAAUAAUAAAUUCAACACACAAUAUUACUGAAAUCUCAAACAAUGAAAAAAGUCACACCAUAAUAGAAAACCUUGCUAAUUCUUCUAGAUUCUUUCUCUUGAGAAACCAACCUAAAUAAUGUCCUAUUUAUAAUCUACCAAACUUGUUAGGAAAGAAACCACUUGCAUAAGAAAUUACCAAAUAAAACAGAAAUUCCUAAAUCACACAACUACUAAAAACAUAACUCAAAUAAAACUAAAAAUAAAUAAAUAUUUCUUGGCUUAGUUUAAUUUGUCAACAUUGCCUCCCUUAAACCAAACUAUCCAUUGAGAUAGGUUCAACACCAUCUCGAGCAAUAAUUUCUAUGUUGUAGUACACUUGACAUGAAACUCUAACUUGUUACCAGUUAUUAAUUUCAUUUUUACAUGUAACAAUGGACGCACUAUGUAUUUUGUAAAAAAUUUCUCAGCAAUUUCUUCUUGAUCAAAGUACUCACUUAUACAAACACAUUCAUCACCAGAAUCACCAUAUUUACCACCAAUGUAAGUGCCUAAAAAUACAAAAUCAUAGAUUGCUUUCUGGCUAAAAUUAUCAUCACCAAAUAAUUCAAAAUAACCACUACUACAAUCAUCCAAAAUUUUCAUACUGUCAGUCAACUCUUUUGGAGUAAAGUAUUUUUCAACUCCGAUGACAUCCAUAUCUAUCAAAUCAAACAUUCUCCCAUGACUUUGAAGAGAGUCCGCAACCAACGAAUUUUUCAACAACAAUUUCAUGUUCUCUUCUCUUAUCAAAUCAAAAUUUUCUUCUUCUUUUGUCAAAUUACCAUUUUAUUUUUUUCAACAAAUUCAUUACUUCUAAUUUCUCCAAACAAGGUACGCAAAUCAAAACUAUCAAUUGAUUCAAAAUUUUCAAUAUCACCCAUAUUAUCAACAAAUCUAUCAUUUUUAAAAUCCACAAACUAAUUCCAACAACUAGACUUCGGUUUGAAAGCAUAAUUUCUCUCAAUCGUGUGCAAAACAUAGUAAAUAUUCUUCCAAAAUCUCUAAAGUAUUUUAGUACAACCAAUAAAGGUUUUAUAAAUACUUUUUGCCAUUAAUUUAUGCAUCACUUGAAAGAAUAAUUGUGCCUUUUUCUUAAAAACAUGUUUUGCCAACUUACUUGCGUCAACCCAACAAAGAAUAUCAUCCAAAUUACAUUGUUUGACAUAUUUUUCCACUGUUAAAAUCCAACCAAAUAUGUAUGUAUAUUUGUGCUUAUAGGAGUCAAUAUGAAAAAUUUUUCACCGUCAAUCAGAUCUUUAUAAUAUUCCAUUAUUUAACAAUUUGUAUACCUGAAUAAAUUUUUUUCCUCCAUCCUGUCAUGUUUUCUUGGCCUCCCUGGUUGACUAACCAAAUUAUUGUUGUAUGUAUACCCAUGCUCGUCAAACCUCAUUCGUGUACACUCGUAAGGAGUGGUUCUGAGCUUAUUGUGAAUGCUCAGUACCAAGAAGUAGAAGAGAGAAUGCAUAAGAGAGAAUUAACUUGGCUAAAGAAUUAGGAAACAAUUGAGGGAUUUUUUAAGAAAUUAAUUCUCCAACUGCCACUUUUGGAAAUUUUCUAUCAACAACUAGUUACCAAAACACUAGCACAUAGUAAGAAAUCUGGAUAAUUUCAGAAACCUCCCUUGAGGCUUUUAAUAAUCUCGAGAAGCUCCCCUCAAUUUUUAAAAUUGCACGUACCAUCCCUAUUGGUGCAAAAGUACUCUACUACCCCUAAUAGGAUACUCAAAAGACUUUUUUUAUGGGAAAAAAGAAGGCCAGAAAUCCAAGCGAAAACAAAAAAAAUCAAUUUAUUUUCUCUUUUAGCCUUUUACGCUUUUGCCUUCUACCUUUGCUCACUUUCCCAUGCCAAUCUUCCUAUAACCACUUUCCCAAUCCCCUUUCCCCAACUUUUCUUCUCUACUUCAAGACCAAUUUUUGUCCAUCAAUCCUGGCUUGUGCUUUGUUCCAUUCCCUUCCCUUCUCCUUCUUUGAUUUCCCCUAUAUCUCCCCUUCUCUUUGCAAAAGUGACUAGGCUCAUCUCUCUCCUUUUUUUCCCCAUAUUUUAAGUGUAGUGGGUUUGAUUAUUUUGCAUCUAUUUUAUUUGAUUUUGGUUGAUUAUGGGUGAUAAAACUUGGUGAUGUCACAUAUUAAAAGUUUGAUAGAUGGAUAUUGGGCUUUAGACAAUGAUUUGCUGAAAAAAAUGGCCGCAAUGAGAGGAAGAGGCAAAGGGAUUUGAGUGUGGGGUUGAUUGUUGAUGAAUUGUUGUUUUGGAAAAAAUUUGAGGUUGAGUUUUAUCAAAUUUGGUAGCAAGUGGCGAGAUUUGUUCAGGUUGCGGGAAAUAAAUUGGUUUGUGGUUUCUUGGGCACCCACAGUCGUUGGAAUUGGUUUUGAUUCAAAUUAGGGUGGUUACUUGAUUUUCCUAAUAGUGUUGCUUAAAAGCACACGAUCAUCAAAAUUCCUUAUUUUUAUCUUUUAUUUUUUUUUUGUAGAAAAGAUUUCAUGACUUUCGUGAUAGUCUAAUUUGGAAGAAGGCAAUCAAGGGAUGCAAUCAACAUUUAGCAAAAGCUCUUGUUCUUUUCUUUGUAAUUUUUAGGGUAAAAAGGGUUGUUUAGGGUAUUUGAAGGAAAUGAUAGUCUAUUGGGUCUAUUUUGAAGCAUAAAUAGUGAACGUAAGGGAGGUUGGUGUUAUUUCUGAAACCUAAGGGAAUUGUCUGAAAUUGUCCGAGACCUCGGAGGAGGUUUUCAAAAUUAUCCGUAAGAAAUCAAAUGCGAAACUUGAUUCGUACACGCACACACGACACCACACCACGUCACGCGUGUGUUGAGGACUGAUGUCCGUAGCCAACGACAAGCAGGUUUUCAAUUUUUUUUUCCUUUCCUGGAUUCAGAGAUGGUGUCAGCUUCUAUUAUUGGUGAGCAGGAGGAAAUCCACAAUAUACAGUACACAUCACCCAUAUUCUUUUUAAUUGAACAAUGUAUGAAAUUAUGGUGAUUCGAAAUUAAAUUAUAUGUUUAUUGGACAACGAAUCCAAAAUAAGAGUUGGAAAUGUAUUGUGACAACAAUUGUUAACUUUGGCCACAAAUGAUCAAAAUAAAUAUUUAAGGUUUAAUAUGACAUUAUGGGUUCAAAAUAUAGUUACUUGUUAUGAAACAACUAAAAGUGCGGAUGCCCAUUUGUAUUCUCAAAAGGAUCAAUUCAUAAUUCAUUGCUCCCAAGAUGAUUAAUUCAUAAUUCAUUGCUACAUUAUGUAAAGAAAUUACAUUGGAUGAAUGGUUUCAAUCCAUAAGAGCUAUUCAUGUAUUGGAUGAACCGUUUCAUAUGGCUAUUCAUGUUCUUGUAGUAAUGAGUGUUUAAUAGAAUUGAUGUACCUUUAAUUUUAUAGUACCUAUACAUAGAGGUACCUGGCACCUCUUCGGUGUACUUUUUGAUUAGUUGGAAUAAUAAGAAAAUCAUUCUCCAUUUCUGUACUCUUUCACUAAUAUUUCAAUUCCUAUUAUAGUAGUUCAUUUUUUUUUAGUUUUACAACACGUUAUCAGUACGAGUCUCUCCUUUUAAACAAAAAGGUGAAAACGGAGCCUCUACCUUAAAAAAAAAGUGAAACACGAGAUUUUGCCGAAAUUCUGCCGUAUUUUUCCAGUAACUUCUGUCUACUUAUUGAGAAAUGGAUGCCAAAUAUUUGGGAUUAAAUGAUGGUGAUGAUGACAUUUGUCUCAUUGAUAGUGCUACUACGCGCACUAUAUUGAAAAAUAAAAAAAUUUUCUUGUAUGAAAAUGGGAGAGACAAAUGUUAAUAUCAUAAGUGGUAGUGCAAAAUUGAUUGAAAGAUUCGGAAGAGCCACUCUAUUUCUUCCUAAAGGGACUAAAAUUGUCGUAAAUAAUGCACUAUUGUCUCCCAAGUCUCGGAGAAAUUUAUUGAGUUUUAAAGAUAUCCGCAAAAACGGAUAUCAUAUUGGGACAAUGAUUGAGACAAAUGGAAAAUUUUUAUUAAUCACAAGUAUCAUUUCUAGACAGAAAUACGUAGUAGAAAAAUUACCUUCUUUUUCUUUUGGCUUAUAUUAUGCACAAAUUAGUGCAAUUGAAAUUUAUCACCUAGUAAACCAAAAGUCUAUUCAUCCCAAUAAUUUUAUCAUUUGGCAUGAUCAUUUCAGAAAUCUUGAAUCUAUAAUGAUGAGACAAAUAAUCGAGAAUUCACAUGGUCACUCAUUGAAAAAUCAAAAGAUAUUAAAAGCAAAUGAAUUCUCCUGUGUUGCUUGUUCCCACGGAAAAUUUAUUAGACCAUCACCAGCUAAAGUUGGGACUGAAUCCCCUACAUUUCUAGAACGAAUUCAUGGUGAUAUAUGUGGAUUAUUUCGAUAAUUUAUGGUGCUAAUUGAUGCAUCAUCUAGAUGGUCACAUGUAUGUUUAUUAUCUACUCCCAACCUGGCGUUUGCGAGUUUGCUUGCUCAAAUAAUUAAAUUGCGAGCACAAUUUUCAGACUAUCCAAUAAAGAAAAUUCAUCUAGAUAAUGCUGGUGAAUAUUCAUCACAUACUUUUGACGAUUAUUGCAUGUCCAUUGGAAUAACUGUUGAACAUCUUGUAACUUAUGUUCACACACAAAAUGGUCUAGCCGAAUCAUUUAUUAAACGGCUACAAUUAAUUGCUAAACCAUUGUUGAUGAGGUUUAAACUACUUUCAUCUGCUUGCGAACAUGCUAUAUUACAUGCAGCAACACUUGUGAGAAUUAGACCGACAAGUUAUCAUACUUAUUUUUCCCUACAAUUAACUUUUGGUUAUGAAUCCAAUAUUUUUCAUUUAAGAAUAUUUGGUUAUUCAGUUUGUGUUCUAAUUGCACCGCCCCGACGUUGUAAAUUGGGCUCGCAAAGAAGAUUGAAAAUAUAUGUCGGGUAUGAAUCACCUCUAAUUAUUAAGUAUAUGGAACCAUUGACAGAUGAUUUAUUUAUUGCGAGAUUUGUAGAUUGUCAUUUUGAUGAAUCAGAUUUUUCAACAUUAGGGGGGAGAUAAAAAUCAACCGAAAAAGGAAAUCACUUUAAAAAUAUCAUUGAAUUUUCUCGAUUCUCGUACAAAAGAAUGUGAACUAGAAAUUCAAAAGAUUAUACAUUUGCAAAAAAUUACAAAUCAAUUACCGGAUGCAUUUAAUGACUCCAGAAGAGUUACUAAAUCACAUAUUCCUAUUGAAAAUGCUCUGAUUAAAAUUAAUAUCCUUGAAGGACAAAUUACAAGUGCUAAUGAGUCUAAAGUGCGCCUGAAGCGUGGGAGAUUUCUUGGUUCCAAAGAUAAAAAUUUUCGAAAGAAAAGAGGAGUACAUGAAUCAACAAUUAAUGACAAAAUUUAACCUCCUGAAGAGAUCGCUCCUAAAGAGCCAAUUCUUGAAGAGAAUAAAAUCAUAGAAAAUUCAAUAAAUUUUGUCACUUCAGGGAAAAGUUGGAACCGAAAAGAAAUAAUUAUUGAUAGUAUUUUUGUAUAUAAUGUAGCACUUGAUAUUAUGGUAGAGAAUGGGGAUUACGAGCCUAAAUCGAUUGAUGAAUGUCGACGUAGAAAUGAUUGGCCAAAAUGAAAAGAUGCGAUCCAAUUUGAAUUGGACUCACUGGUUAAAAGAAAAGUUUUUGGACCUGUAGUCCAAACACCUGAAGGUGUGAAGCCAGUAGGAUAUAAAUGGGUAUUUGUGAAAAAAAAAUGAGAAAAAUGAAAUCGUGAGGUAUAAAUUAAUACUUGUAGCCAAAGGAAUUUCACAAAGGCCUGGAUUUGAUUAUGAUUACACGUAUUCACUUGUAGUGGAUGCUAUCACAUUUAGAUAUCUUGUGAGUUUUGCAGUACAUGAAAAAUCAGAUAUGCAUCUAAUGGACGUCGUUACUGCAUAUUUAUAUGAAAAUCUUGAAAAUGAUAUUUAUAUGAGAAUUCCCGAAGGAUUCAAUAUGCCUGAAACAUGCAAAUCAAAUCUUAAAAAUAUUUAUUUAAUUAAAUUACAAAAGUCUUUGUAUGGAUUCAAACAAUCUGAACGUAUGUGGUACCGCCUUAAUGAAUGUUUAACUAAAGAAGGCUAUACCAAUGAUCCAAUAUGUCCAUGUGUCUUUAUCAAGAAAAAUGGAUCAAAUUUUGUGAUAAUUGUUGUAUAUGUUGAUGAUCUAAAUAUGAUUGGAACACCUGAAAAGAUUCAAAAUAGUGUUGAAUAUUUGAAAAAAAAUUUGAGAUCAAAGAUUUUGGAAAAAUAAAAUUUUUCCUUGGUUUACAAAUUGAGCAUUUGAAAAGUGGAAUUUUGUCCACCAAACUGCUUAUACCCGGAAGGUAUUAAAGCGAUUUUAUAUGGAUAAGUCACAUACAUUAAGUAUUCCAAUGGUCAGAUCAUUAGAUCCUAAUAAGGACCCUUUUAGACCGCGAGAGGAAGAUGAAGAGAUACUUGGUCCUAAAGUACCAUAUCUCAGUGCAAUUGGUGCACUACUGUAUCUUGCUAAUUGUACAAGACUUGAUAUAUCAUUUACAAUAAAUUUAUUAGCAAGAUUUAUUUCCUCGCCCACAAGACGACAUUGGAAUGGUAUUAAACAUAUUUUUCGUUAUCUUUAAGGAACAAAUUGAUCUUGGCUUAUUUUAUUCAAAUAAAUCUAAACUUGAAUUGCUUGGUUAUGUUGAUGUUGGAUAUUUAUCUGAUUUGCAUAAAGCAAGAUCUCAGACUGGUUAUCUAUUUACAUAUGGAGGUACAACCAUUUCUUGGCGAUCUAGAAAGCAAUUAUUAGCCGCCACUUCAUCGAAUCAUGCUAAAAUAAUAGCAAUUCAUGAGGCUAGUCGAGAAUGUGUUUCGUUAAGAUCAAUGACCUACUAUAUCCGGAAGAGUUGUGGGUUAUCCUCUGAAAAAGAAAAUCCUCCGACUAUAUUUUAUGAAGAUAAUGCAGCUUGUAUAGCUCAAUUGAAAGGAGAAUAUAUUAAAGGAGAUAGAACGAAAUAUAUUUCACCAAAAUUCUUUUUUACUCAUGAUUUACAAAAGAAUGGUGAAAUUGUUGUGCAACAAAUCCGAUCAGAUAAUAAUUUGAUAGAUUUAUUUACUAAUGUAUUGCCGACUGCAAUAUUUGAGAAAUUGGUGAAGAAUAUUGGAAUGCGACGACUAUAAAAUCUCAAAUGAUAUUUGCAUCAGGGGGAGAAAUCAAUACACAAGAAUAGUGUACUCUUUUUUUUUCACUAGAGUUUUUGUCCCGUUGGAUUUUUUCCUAGUAAGGUUUUAAUAAGACAUAUUCUUUGUGUAAUUAAUAUCCAAUGGGGAGUGUUAUGAAAUAACUAAAAGUGUGGAUGUCCAUUUGUAUUCUCAAGAAGAUCAAUUCAUAAUUCAUUGCUCCCAAGAGAAUUAAUUCAUAAUUUAUUGCUACAUUAUGUAAAGGAAUUACAUUGGAUGAUCGGUUUCAAUCCAUAAGAGCUAUUCAUGUAUUGGAUGAACCAUUUCAUAUGGCUAUUCAUGUUCUUGUAGUAACGAGUGUUUAAUAGAAUUGAUGUACCUUUAAUUUUGUAGUACCUAUAUAUAGAUGUACCUUAGCUGAUAGGUUGCAAUUUUAUCAUUUAUUUUAUAAUUAAUUUCUCCUAUUACCUGACUUGAUGUGGAUUAAUUGCGGGAUUCUACUCACUUUUAGUAUUUUGCAUUUAUUUCAGGGAGUAGAGCGAAAAUAUAAUAACAGGUGCUAAUUUGACAAAAAAAGAGUCCAAGGCACAGAGCUUAUCCCGGGGGCAUUAUUGGCAAAGGAAGACUUUUGCCCAUUUUGGUAAUUUCAAAAGAAGAGAGCAGGGCAGAGGCCUCUAUUUUACUGGAGGCUGGAGCGCCGCACAAAGGGAGCUUCUUCUUCCUUCGGAGGCUCCGUCCUCUCCGCAAGGGGGCUGCCGCACACAGCAGCCAUUAGAAUAGGAGCAAUUGAUAUAUGACAGAGAAUGAGCACUAGCACCAGGGAGUUGCCUUUGUUGACUUUUCUUCCCUUUUAGUUCUUAGUAGUUGUUUUACCUUCCUCGUACGUAGGACCUUUAGCAUAGUUUCCUUUUGACUUUCCCUUGAGUCUUGGGUGGAUGUCUCCUGCGCAUGUCAGGAGCAAUUGAAGGUCUCGGUCACUUUCUGUAUUCUUCCAUCAACUGAGCGAACUGAGCUCCCUUGGUCAAGGGCAAUGGCUGCGGCUUCCUCUCCAACUUUGUGUGGGAUUCGUUCACCAGGAAUGAACUAAUUUUUCUUUUCUAGUCAAGGAACAACGGAGGUCUUGGUUGGCCUAAAUUUGUGAGAUCGAAUUAGUUUUUAUUUAUUUCCAUUAUUCACUGGUAUUUGUCUAUCUUCUGCUUUAUGUUCAUAUGGUUGUUUUAUUAUUCGAUUAUCCAGGGCCCGGAUACUAGAUUAAUUCAAUAACCUGAAGCCAAUUAGGAUAGUUAAAUCCGUAAUUGUUUAAUUAUUCUAAACUGCUGGCAACUGGCAUGAUUGGGUUUGUGUCAGGGGGAUAAACAUGCUAACUUAAAGAGACCCUCGUAGCGUGUUGAUUGGUUAGAAUUAGGCUCUUCUAAUUAUUCAUGCAAUUAGGGAAUUGAACUUCUAUGGUCGUACCUAGGGUUAUUUCCUGAUUAGAGAAAUAGUCAACGGUCGUACCUUGGCUAUCGACAAAUUGAGGAAGAGUUGGUUGUUUAUCGCGUGUAUGGCAACUAUAACUAAUUUAUCAGAUAGUAACUGGAAUAAUCCUUGCAUCUGUGAUCGAAUUAAGUGAACCAUCUCCGAAGUUGUCUCUUGGCUAGAGUUCGUCAAUUAUUAUUUUUAUUGUGAUAAUUAGUUAUUUGAGUUGUAGUUAUUUUAUUUUAUUUAUUCCAAGUAAUUUAGUUACUCUCAUUUUCAAAAACCCCCCAUAUCUGGAACUUGAGAAGAAAUUAAAUUAUCCCCAGUCCCUGUGGAUUCGACCCUGCUCACCGCUAUAUACAGAAUUUGUAUUUUAUUUGAGCAGGUAUUUAUUAUUGCACAGGUUCGGCACCUGUCAAUUUUUUGCUACAUUAUGUAAAGGAAUUACAUUGGAUGAUCGGUUUCAAUCCAUAAGAGCUAUUCAUGUAUUGGAUGAACCAUUUCAUAUGGCUAUUCAUGUUCUUGUAGUAACGAGUGUUUAAUAGAAUUGAUGUACCUUUAAUUUUGUAGUACCUAUAUAUAGAUGUACCUUAGCACCUCUUGGGUGUACUUUUUGAUUAGUUGGAAUAAUAAAAAAAUCAUUCUCCAUUUCUGUACUUCUUUCUCUAAUAUUUCAAUUCCUAUCACAGUAGUUAUUUUUUUUUAGCUUUACAACAUUACUUAAAUAAGAGAGUUAUUGGACUAUAUGUUUAUUGACCUCUACUAACUUAUUUAAGGUCAUUUCAUAUCACUAUCCAAAGAAGAAUUAAGGUCAUUUCAUAUCACUAUCCAAAGAACAAUUCUUGGGCGCUAACAUUUUUCUUACAUGACUAUUAAUGAAAGUUGACCCAAAUCUCUCUGUCUCUCUCUUUCUUUCAAUUCUUAGGACUGAUGCCAAUUCUUACCAUUUAGAAAGAAAAAUUAGAUUGUUUAUAUAUAUGAUGAGUUCCCUCUAAGUCAUGGUUAAGAAAAAUUCUUAGUUAAACGCAGUUUUAUGAAAUGUGAAUUUCCUUUUCUUUGUCUUUAUUCAUUAGUAUUAUUGGGGUUAUUGUAUUAUGAUUGCAAUGCACAGAUACAUGGAUUUUUGACAUUUUUUCUUUUUAAUUGACUCUGACUAUGCCUCAAACUCGAGACAUCAAACCUGGACACGACUUUUGUCCAAAAUGCUUGUAAAAAUUCAGAAGAAUAAUUUUGGACCUUAUUAUUUGAUAAUGGUACAAUUAUGAGAGUCAUUCCAGGUUAAUUAUCAAACUUGGAACUUGAAAAUAAUGUCGACAUCAUGUCAUUAUUAUUUUUUAGUUUCAUAGAAAAAUGAAGUAUUCUCCAACUCGACAUUAUCAUAGUAUUUUCAAUUGGCAGCUCAUGUGAGAAAGACAAGAAAUUCACAAUCAACUGGCCAAGAGAGUGCCAACAAAGAAAGCACUAAAUGGCUUAAACAAUGCAUGCAAAUUUGCUUGGCACUUAAACAAUAGACACCUAAAUCAACCAUGUCACUGUCUUGCCAAAAAAGGGCAUUAAAGUAAAAACAACUCAUGCCUACCACAGGUAACAAACUUCAGCACCUUCACUUCACUACCAUGUCAGCAACAACAUUUGCAAAUUUCCAAGGAAGUCCACGCACUAAAGGUGCCCAUGCCCUUAGGGGACCUCAGGUUAGUGUUCUUAACCUCAACUCCUGUCUUUCUGUUCUUAGGAAAUAUUGAAAUUAAACGUUAUAACUAAUCCUGAUUUCCUUGUGCUAUAUUUGUACACAAUUUGGCAACAAGGGUAAAAAAAAAUAAAAAUAAAAAGGUUUAUCUGCAAACUGUAGUUCGGCCUGGCUCUUUUUUUUUUUUUUUUUUUUGGGGAUAAGAUCAUCUCAGCACCCGCAGACCCCGUCAUGUAUCAAUAUUUCUGUACUUAGCAUUGGCUUCUUCUCGCCUGAAGAACACACGAACCACCGAAAUAGAUGGUGCAUGAAAGUGCACUUAACCCUUUUAAUUUUUCAAAACAAUCUUUUAGAAAAAAUAAUAAAAACUUUUUGAAUUUAAUUUUAGAGAAGAAGAAUUUUAAAAUUUUUUGAAUUUAAUCUUAGAGAAGAAGAAGUUUAAAAUGUACUUUAAUUUUCACAACUGAUGAUGAAAAUAGCAAAAUGUACACGGAUAGUGACAAAAGUGGGAUCACGGGCAGGAAAUCCUGAAGGUUGCGUGCAUUUUACACACGGCAUAAUUCUGUUUGUAUAUAGUGUAAUUUACUUUUUACAACGUGUAAUUUUAAAACAAAAUUUUGUAAGUCUCACACAUUUUAUUAAAAAUAAGGUACAAGAUGAAAUUUGGACCAUAUAAUUUUUUUUAAUCAAAUCUUGACCGUGAACUGCUCAGAAACGGUUUACCUGAUGACCGUCCCUGGUCCAAACCCGACAAAGGUGCCAUCUUAUCCUUUUACUGACUGGCCCGUUUUCCAAUGAGAGGGCCCAGAAGGGGUGCCUCUGCUUCAUAGUUUAUCCAUAUUGAUAUUUCUUUUCUGUCCCCCUAACUAUUAAAUGUGAAAGGUUGCCCACCAAAUUUGACGAAACCGUUUAUCCUAAUUGAUUAUUAUCAAUAGGGCAUAACUUUAAUAUUCUUCUUCCAACCCUUUCUGGUGAUUCCUGCAACUCCAGCCGUCCGUCAAUGACCAUAAAGCACCAUUAACCGACAACUAACUAACCACUAUUAAUCUAUUCUCAAAUUUUAAUGAAAUUGCACAAUCUAUUCUCAAAUCAAAUUUGAACAACAUUUUAUAGUCGAUAACUUUGAAACUUGAUAAAAAAGUCUGUUUAAACUCGGUUUAGUAAAUAAACAAAUCAAGUUUGAACAAAAUUUUAAACUCAUUAAAAUAAUUAAACACGUUUGAAUAUUAGGGUAUUCGAUUUAAUUAGACACGUUUGUAUCCCUAAUUAAAGCAUGCACUUUUAUAAGUUUAGGAAUCAACAUUAUACAUUUAAUAGCUAGCUAGAGGGUCAAAAAGUUAAUUGCCUUAAAUUCUUUUAGCAGCCAUAAGGUACAGUUGGAGGGAUUCCCUUGAAAUUGGUUAGAUUCUUCUAUGUGACUAAAGAAUUUCGGGUGUGACGCAUUACUAGUCCUACCCUAAAAAAAAAUGGUAUUACUAGUCCUUUUUUUCUUUUUUGGCGUGCCCCCGUCGUGGGAUGUGGGGAGGGGAGUCUGUGCGAGAAUUCUAGGUCGGGGUACAAGGAGCCAAAGUUCACCUUAUUCAAAGUAAACAACCGUCCAUCUCAGUUGUCGACUUUCCUGUCGAUUGCGUAUAUAUAUAUAUUACUAUCUUUUACCAUGACUUUAGAGGAUAGCUAAUUUUGCUUGCUAUUAAAUAAUAAUUUCGGUAGUCUAUAAAUACUCUUGUUCCUCACCGCUCCUAGCACCACAUAAUUCCUUCAAGAACAGCCAAAACCUUCUUGAAAUCCCUCUUUUUCCUUCUAGUUCAUUUCCAAGAAACAAAUGGCCCCUGUCACUUCCAGUUAUGAGGUCACCUCCUCAAUCCCUCCUGCAAGGUUGUUCAAGGCCACCAUCCUCGAAGAGAAGCAUCUUCACAAGAUCUUGCCACAGGGCGUUAAGAGUGUCGAAAUCCUUGAAGGAGAUGGUGGAGUUGGCACAAUUAAGUUGACCACAUUUGUUGACGGUAAGAUAAUCAAUACAAAGUGAUUAUUUUCACACAUUUGAAGUCUUCAAAUUUUUCUCUUUUUUUCCCUUUUAUUUGGGAAAAACUAAUGACUUUUUUUUUUUGGUUGGGUUAAAUAUUUAGGUGGCGAGCAUAAGACUGCCAAACAGAGAGUUGAUGGAAUUGACAAAGAAAAAUUUACAUACAGCUAUACUGUACUUGAAGCUGAUGGAUUUAACGAUGUAAUCGAGAAAAUCUGUUGUGUCAUCAAAUUUGAACCCUCUGCUGAUGGAGGUUCAAUCUGCAAAACCACUAACACAUACUACCCCAAAGGUGGUGCUCAGAUCAGUGAGGAACACCUCAAGGGAGGAAAAGAGAUGGGUUUGGGAAUGGUUAAGGCUGUUGAGGCAUACCUCCAUGCAAAUCCUACUGCCUACAACUAAUUAUAAUGAAUGCUACUGCAAGGACUCUUCGACAUAUUUUCUUCAAGAUUGAAGUAUAAACUGAGGGUGUCUGUUUCCUUUUUUGCUUGGUUUGCUUAAGCUGUUUGGUUAAGUUAUUCGCAGCAAGAGAAUAAAAUAAUUCAUUUGCUGUUUUUAGAUAUGAAUUCAUGACUGUCAGUAGUCUAUAAAUACACUUAUUGCUCACCACUCUUUGCACCGCAAAAUCUUUUCAAGAUCCAUCAAACCCUCCUGUUCUUGAUCUUUCUCCAUUUGUGAAAAAACAAAUUAAAGCAUCAUGGCCCCUAUCACUUGUAGUGCUGAGAUGACCUCCCCAAUGCCUCCUGCAAGGUUGUUCAAGGCCGCCAUCCUUGAUGACCACCUUCUUCCCAAGAUCAUGCCACAGGCUAUUAAAAGUGGAAAUUCUUGAAGGAGAUGGUGGAGUUUGAACCAUUAAGUUGAGCACAUUUGGUGACGGUUAGAUGUUAUAUUAAAUGUAGAACCCAAAUUUUAAGGAUCUAAUAAUAAUCAAUUAAUAAUAAUCAAUGCGUGCAGGGUUACAGAAUUGGAGGGAUAAAACAAAUACUCAAAUAAAUGUGGAAGAAAAGAAAAUAAUAAAUUCAACUCACAAAAUUAUUGAAAUUUCAAACAAUGAAAAAAAUCAUACCUUAAUAAAUUCAGUUGGUUUUAAUAAUAAUCAAAGCAUACAAGGUUAAAGAAUUAAAAGGAUAAAACAAACACUCAAAAUAUAUGUGGGAGAGAAGAAAAUAAUAAAUUCAACACACAAUAUUAUUGAAAUCUCAAACAAUGAAAAAAGUCACACCAUAAUAGAAAAUCUUGCAAAUUCUUCUAGAUUCUUUCUCUUGAGAAACCAACCUAAAUAAUGUUCUAUUUAUAAUCUACCAAACUUGUUAGGAAAGAAACCACUUGCAUAAGAAAUUACCAAAUAAAACAGAAAUUCCUAAAUCACACAACUACUAAAAACAUAACUCAAAUAAAACUAAAAAAUAAAUAAAUUUUUCUUGGCUUAGUUUAAUUUGUUAACAUUGCCUCCCUUAAACCAAACUAUCCAUUGAGAUAUGUUCAACACCAUCUCGAGUAACAAUUUCUAUGCAAAUCUAUGUUGUAGUAUACUUGACAUGAAACUCUAACUUGUUACCAGUUAUUAAUUUCAUCUUUACACGUAACAGUGGACGUACUAUGUAUUUUGUAAAAAAUUUCUCAACAAUUUCUUCUUGAUCAAAGUACUCAUUUAUACAAACCCAUUCAUCACCAGAAUCAUCAUAUUUACCACCAAUGUAAGUUCCUAAAAAUACAAAAUCAUUGCUUGCUUUCUCGCUAAAAUUAUCAUAACCAAAUAAUUUAAAAUAGCCACUACUACAAUCAUCCAAAAUUUUCAUACUGUCAGUCAACUCUUUUGGAGUAAAAUAUUUUUCAACUAUAAUGACAUCCAUAUCUAUCAAAUCAAGCAUUCUCCCAUCACUUUGAAGAAAGUCCGAACCAACGAAUUUUUCAACAACAAUUUCAUGAUCUCUUCUCUUAUCAAGUCAAAAUUUUCUUCUUCUUUUGUCAAAUUACCAUAUUAUUGUUUCAACAAAUUCAUUACUUCUAAUUUCUCCAAACAAGGUACGCAAAUCAAAACUAUCAAUUGAUUCAAAAUUUUCGAUAUCACCCAUAUUAUCAACAAAUCUAUCAUUUUUAAAAUCCACAAACCAAUACCAACAACUAGACUUCGGUUUGAAAGCAUAAUUUCUCUCAAUCGUGUGCAAAACAAAGUAAAUAUCCUUCCAAAAUCUCUAAAGUAUUUUAGUAUGACCAAUAAAGGUUUUAUAAAUACUUUCUGCCAUUAUUUUACACAUCACUUGAAAGAAUAAUUGUGCUUUUUUUCUUAAAAACAUGUUUUGCCAACUUACUUGCAUCAACCCAACAAAGAAUAUCAUCCAAAUUACAUUGUUUGAGAUAUUUUUCCACUGUUAAAAUUCAGCCAAAAUAUGUAUGUCUAUUUGUGUUUAUAGGAGUCAAUAUGGAAAAUUUUUCACCAUCAAUCAGAUCUUUAUAAUAUUCCAUUAUUUAACAAUUUGUAUACCUGAAUAAAUUUUUUUCCUCCAUCCUGUCAUGUUUUCUUGGCCUCCUUGGUUGACUGACCAAAUUAUUGUUGUAUGUAUACCCAUGCUUGUCAAACCUCAUUCGUGUACACUCGUAAGGAGUGGUUUUGAGCUUACUGUGAAUGCUUAAUACCAAGAAGUAGAAGAGAGAAUGCAUAAGAGAGAAUUAACUUGGCUAAAGAAUUGGGAAGCAAUUUAGGGAUUUUUUAAGAAAUUAAUUCUCCAACCGCCACUUUUGGAAAUUUCUAUCAACAACUAGUUACCAAAACACUAGGACAGCGAUCCGUCUCUAUUUUACUCUUCAAGUCUUCGCCGGGGAAGCAACCCGGCCUUGCGAGACUAUAAUGAAUAGGCACUUGCCUUCUGUUUUUACUUUUUUUUUGUUCAAAGACUAUAAUGCCCUUAUUAUUUGACUGCGCAUCUCGCAAGAUAAUGCUUUCCAUCAAAAUUAACUGUUGGGUUUGACAGAAGCGCCACGAAUAUUCUAUUUUAUUAGAUCCAGAGUCAAAAUUUUACCGUUAAUUGUUAGAGGGUUAAAACUUUAUCUGGAAAGGAGUUGGAGGGCCAUUGGAACUCUUUUUCCAAAAAAAAAAAAAAGUCACUUUUGUCAUUUGUCCAAGAACAGUUCUGGGGCCAUCUCGACAGUAUAUAUUUUUCUUACAUGCCAAGACAAUUAAUGAAAAUUGACCAAUAACACACGCACACACACACACACACACACACACUCUCUCUCUCUCUCUCUCUCUCUCUCGGUUGCUGCCAAGUCUUUCCAUUGAAAAAGGAAAAUUCAUAUUGUUUACAUAGAUAAAUUACCUCCAGUCCGUGGAAUGUCUUGAUGUUAGGUGAGUUCUAAUAUUUUGGUAUCAUCUAGAGGUGGCAAAUCAACCCACUUAACUAAAUUUACCCAUAUCCGCCCAUGAAUAGAUGGGUAUGGAUAUCUUAAAUUUUUGUAUAUGAGUAUAAAUGGGUUACCCAAUAAUACCCAUUUAAAUGGGUAACCCAUCAAACCCAAUUAACCCAUUUAGAAUUCUCUUCCCCUCAAGUCUCUUCUUUUCCCCCACCUUUUUUUUUUUCAAAUUUUUCAUUUUGUCAUGAUGUUAACUACUUUUGUUUUAUUAUUAUUAUUUGUUGGUUUUAUCUUAUUAUUUUAUUUUCUCUUAGUUUGUUAACUUACUCAUUUUUUACCAUUACCAAUUUAUGAUAAAUUUUAGCCUAUUUUCUUAUCUUUAUAAAAUGAAAUUUUAAAUUUAUAUAUGAAAAAAAUGUUAGGGGUUCAAAAAUUUUGGAUUAAGUUUUUAUAUUAAUUUUUAUAGUACUUAGUUCAAAAUUUUAUAUUCUUAUUAUUCAAUUAUUAAAUAAUAGGUAAUUUUGUGACAUAGAGUAUAAAUGAAAAAAAAUUGGUAAUUAAGUUUAUUGAACAUUAUAAGUAAAUAUUUAAAACUAAUGAUGGGUAUAAAGAGUGAUAUAAAUUGAUAACUUAGUUUGCAAAAAUGAAUUUAAAUGAGUUUGCAAAAAGUUAAAAUAAAUGGGUUAUAAAUGGGUAAUUGGGUUACCCAAUUCAUUUUUUGACUUGCCUAUUUAUACCCAUAUAAUUAAAUGGGUAUAAAUGAGUUGACUCACUUAUACCCAUUACCCAUUUUACCCAACUCAAACCCGCCCAAGUCACCCAUUUUGACACCUUUAGUAUCAUCUAAUGUUCAUUUGUGAAAGAUUGAGAAAUGAUAAAGAGCAAAACACCAAUUUAUUCCAUAAAUUAUUUUGCUAAAAUCAAAAUAGUCCAUAAAUUUUCUUUUGGCCAAAUUUUUGUCAUGAACUUUCAGAAACGGUUGCAGGGGAUUUCAUCCGGAUUGCUUGUGCAGUUGAGUAACUAUACAGAAAUUCUUUUUGGGAUGCUGAGUAUCUUAGGAUGGGUACAAUGAUCGCUUAGAUCAGUAGAGAUGAUUGAUGAUGUAGUAGGGGAAGAUUCCCUUUAUAAAGCUGAUUUUCUCAUGAUUAAUAAGAAUAUAAAUGUUACCAAAUUUUCUUUUCAAAUGUGUAACGAAAAUAUUGGCCAUGAUCAGCAAGACCUCCUUAAUUAUAAAAGUUUCUUGAAUGUCAUCAUCCAAUUUGUUUAAGCGAGGAUUUUUAAAUGCUAUCUUUAAGCAAAUUGAUUUUUGUAUUAUAGAUACUUACUACUAUUACUUCAUACCUAGCUACAAACCUCAUGUAUGUUUUAGUUUUAAUCCAGAACAAAUCAGGGCCACGGGCCACCUUGCACAUAGCGAGAGUGGAAAAAUAAAACUACACAAUUGCUUUUUUGAAGCCAGUGACUCAACUGAUUUUGCGCUCGGCAAUUCAUCCGAUUUUCAUUAAAAGGGCCCUAAGAGGCCAUUGGCGUUUUGGGCCUGUGAAAAUUUGGAUGAUUUGGUGUGUCCAAUGCAUGUGUAAGCACAAAUUUUGUUGUCUAAAAUAAAAGACAAGAAAACUUACAUAAAUAUCAAAUUUAUUAAAUUAAAUAACAAGAGGGUUACAAUAUUUGAAAAUUUUUGAAUCAAAGAAAUUAAUCUCCUAAUUUUUAUCUUCAAAAGGCUUUAAUCGGAAGGCCAAAAAGGCUUGUUCUCCGAUCAAGAGGGUGUUUUCUAUGAUUUCUAUGUAAAAAACGGCUGCUUUGAUGAUGACGUUAAUAUUUGAAUCUUUAAAUCUUCAACGCCGAUGGAAGGAGGAUUUAUUUAACUUAAUUUGGAUUUGGAUUUGAAUUUGAGGGAAAAAGCUCUCAAGAGAAUUUGACAAAGUUACUUUGAAAUUUAGGAAUUUUAAUGUAUUUUUGCCUUGAGGGAAGACCUUUAUUUAGAGUCAACAUAUGCAAGCUAUGUCUUCAAGAGAAUCCUUCAAAACCAUCUUGCGUUUGGGUAACUUGUACCUUAAGAAACCCAUUUAACUUGGAGUUAAAUAGUCGGCCGACCCAAAUAGUCAAUUGUGAAUUAACAAAUCAAUUAAAUCACUUUAAUUUAAAUGGGCAUCACAUUUUUUAUUUGAUUUAAUAGCUCAUAUAACAUUGGCUCAAUUUGUCAAUCCAAAACAUAAUGAACUUCUAUAAUUUAAUUUAAUUUAAUAAAAAUCAAUUUAAUUUACUUAAUCUUGCCUAAAAAUAAAUUAAAUAAAUUUUCGUUGUCUAUGUCCCCACUUCAAAACUUGGCAAGGCAUUGCAUGUUUAUUUGAAUUAACUUAAAACUUCUUAAUACGAUUCAUCUAAGCACCUUUAUAUAUAUAUAUAUAUAUAUAUAUAUAUAUAUAUAUAUAUUUAUUUAUUUAUUUAUAUAUAGAGGUACAGAAGACAUGUCUUUGUCUUGAAACUGUGACAAACAGGACACUUAAGACAAGGGCGUGUGAAGACUAUCGCACUAUUUGAGCGAAAAAAACCUGUUUUGCACGUAUAUUUUGAAGGUAAUCAUCUUUAUUGUCUUUUGACAACUUCAUGUUGGUCGAGUAUCAGAUAUUCACCAAAUUUUGUUGAAAUUUGUCAAAACUUGAUUUGUUUCCAAUUUGGAGAAAAAAAAAGAUUUUUUUCUUCGUUUCUGCAAUUUUCCAGGUCACUCUUUCCUAUCAACAUGUUACGAUUCAGAAAUUGAGACAAAUCUUGUACAUAGGAAUCUUUUUUAACAGCUGAUGGUUGGAAUUUAGCAGACACCUUGAAGUCAAAGAAGGCAAAUAGCAUUCCAAUAGCAUUAUUUGGUUGCAUGCCAUAUCCAAGAUUUUCACUAGUAAGCCACCAUUUUCUUGCUUUUGAUUGUUAUUCAUUCUCUGUUGCGCAAUUUUAUUUUCGCACAAUCUAUUUUUUUCGUUGAAUUUUCUCUUUUGCAAAACAGCGACCACCAAGGAAAGACAGAAAGAUUUUUUUGUUUUUGUUUUUGUUUUUGUUUUUGUUUUUUUUUUUAUGGUUGCACCUUGUGUUGGCACCCCUUAUUUGAAGCAAGUUGAUGUUCCAGUUGUGUUGGGGAUUUUAGGGCCAUAGCUCUUAGAACUCAAAAUACUAAUGUAAUUUCCGCACUCCAUGACAUUUACUUCUUGUCAAUGCCAAACUCUCCUCUUUUUUUUUGUGAUAUGAAAGGAAGAUCUCUCGUUGCAACAUAUAUGGUGGACACUCAAUUUGAAAGAAGGUGCAACCACCAACUUGCACGAGAGCCAUAUCAUGGUUUGAGGAGUAUAAUGAAAAUGAUGCAACUGCAAACUCUUAUGAGAGCCAUAUCAUGGUUGAGAAGUACAAUGAAGAUAGUGCAAUCAAAAAUUUGAAAAAGGUGCAAUCGCAAACUCCCAUGAGAGCCUAUCAUGGAUUGAGGAGUACAACGAAGAAUGUGCCACAAAAAGUUGAAAAAUGUGCAAUCGCAAACUCGCACGAGAGCCUAUCAUGGUUUGAGGAGUACAAUGAAGAAGGUGCAACUACCCACUUCAAUGAGAGCUUACCAAAACUCGAGAAGCCCUUUCAUUUAACUUCACAUUGACUAUUUAUUACUUCUCUCACUGUCUUCGAUCACACCAUUGUAAUCAAAUUUUUUUCUCUUGCUUUUGGUCCUAACGAAAUGGUGAUGGUCAAGGAAGUUACAUCUUCAAACAAAAGGCACCUCCUUAUCACUAAUAGCCAUGAUGACUCUGCUGACAAAGGAACGAAAUUAUUGGUGCAUCCCUCUAUACAAGAAAUUUACUCUGGUGAUUGGUUUUCUCACAAGUAUUCCGAAUUAAAGGAUUGGUCACUAAAAUUUUCUCAAGAUGAUGGUACGAAAGUUCACUCCUUGAAAUUCCUUAUCAUAAUAAGGAGCCAAGGACAAUUGGCAGGCGAAUCCUAGAUGAGACUAAGGGUGCAAACGAGGCAAGUCGAAUCGAGUUUUGAAGUUAUUGAGUCGAGUUACACUUAUUUAUAUGCGAGCUCGAGUUCGAGGUCGAAAAAUAGAGCUCGAACUCGGCUCGAUGUAGGAAAAGGAAAACUCGAGAUCGACUCGCUUAUGGCUCGCGAGUUUAGCUCGAAUUCUGGCUCGCGAGCAGCUCGAGUUUUGCUAGAUUUUCUGGCUCGCAUGAAGCUCGAAGUCAGCUCGAUUCUAGCUCGUUAGGAGCUCCAGUUCGAACUCGAAAACAGCUCGAUUUUCUGGAAAUUUAUGCAAGAAAACAGAAUUUUUGUCCGCAUAUUUUUGAUAAAAUUUGAGCAUGAUAACAAUAAGUUUUCACAUAUUCUUGAUCUUGAGGCCUACAAAUUAUGCACUAAUACAAUCAUAAAUGUCCAAAUGUCCACUAAUACAAAUUAUCCAAAUGUCCACAAAUGUCCACUAAUACAAAUUAUCCAAAUGUCCACAAGAAGUCUGAAGAAUACCAGCUUGUUGUCCACAAAAACCAAGGCAUGACAUGAAGCGAGAAUUUCCUGACUGCGUCCUGGAACUUUACUCAUUUCUGUCUCUAAUUCCUCAUGAUCAGUUAGUCCACCAACAUUGAACAAUAUGGAUCAGGAAUGGGGAAAAAUCACUUUCUAACACUCAAGAUCACAUACAACUCAUAUCCAACAAAUAUCCUGAAGUUUCAUGAGUAUAAUCACAUUAAAAGAGAAAAGGAUACUGACAAGCAUGCUAAUCAAACUCAAGCAGAAAAGGUACUUUCUCCUUGCCGUCUCCGACAUCCCAGCCAGCAAAUGGCUGGGGUUCGUGACAGCUGUUUGGGUCCAAUCCAUCUCCGGCAACAACUAUACCUUCUCCAAUUACUCCGACGCCCUCAAAUCACUCAUGGCCCUCACUCAGCUCCAACUCAACAACCUCUCCGUCGCCAAUUGAUGUCAUUAAAGCAGAAAAUCGGCCUGAUGGCCUCCACCAGCUGCCAUCCCUAAUCCAAGAAGGUCGAGUGUAGUAUGCUUAGGACCAAAUACAGAUGGAGUUCCCAACAUCAGUUCCUUCAAGCUAGACCCACCAUCACACGGCAGCCCUAGUCCUAGGCCUACUACCAAUGAUGCACUAUCAGACUCAAUUGCCCUCCCACUCUUCGCCCGGAAAGACAGUGGUGAAAAGAGGUAAGGAGGUGGCGGCAAAGAGCGACGGGUUAGCCAAAGUUAGAAGAUCCUCUUUUUCUAGAUUUGCAAGUUUCCUACUCUAGAGACAAAAAUGUCCUUGAUAUUUGGUCGUGCAUCUUACAAGAUAAUGCUUUCCGUCAAUUUUAACCGUUGGAUUUGACGGAAGGGCCAUGAAUAUGCUAUUUUAUUAGAUCGAGAGCCAAAAUUUUACCGUUAAUUGUUGGAGGGUUAAAACUUUAUCUGGAAAAGAGUUGGAGGGCCAUUGGAACUCUUUUUCCAAAAAAAAAAAGUCACUUUUGUCAUUUGUCCGAGAACAGUUCAGGGGCCAUCUCGACAGUAUAUAUUUUUCUUACAUGCCAAGACAAUUAAUGAAAAUUGACCAAUAACACACGCACACACACGCGCACGCACACACACACACACUCUCUCUCUCUCGGUUGCUGCCAAGUCUUUCCACUGAAAAGGAAAAUUCAUAUUGUUUACAUAGAUAAAUUACCUCCAGUCCGUGGAAUGUCUUGAUGUUAGGUGAGUUCCAAUAUUUUGGUAUCAUCUAAUGUUCAUUUGUGAAAGAUUGAGAAAUGAUAAAGAGCAAAACACCAAUUUAUUCCAUAAAUUAUUUUGCUAAAAUCAAAAUAGUCCAUAAAUUUUCUUUUGGCCAAAUUUUUGUCAUGAACUUUCAGAAACGGUUGCUUCCUGCAACCGUUGGUGAGGGAUUUCAUCCGGAUUGCUUGUGCAGUUGAGUAACUAUACAGAAAUUCUUUUUGGGAUGCUGAGUAUCUUAGGGUGGGUACAAUGAUCGCUUAGAUCAGUAGAGAUGAUUGAUGAUGUAGUAGGGGAAGAUUCCCUUUAUAAAGCUGAUUUUCUCAUGAUUAAUAAGAAUAUAAAUGUUACCAAAUUUUCUUUUCAAAUGUGUAACGAAAAUAUUGGCCAUGAUCAGCAAGACCUCCUUAAUUAUAAAAGUUUCUUGAAUGUCAUCAUCCAAUUUGUUUAAGCGAGGAUUUUUAAAUGCUAUCUUUAAGCAAAUUGAUUUUUGUAUUAUAGAUACUUACUACUAUUACUUCAUACCUAGCUACAAACCUCAUGUAUGUUUUAAUCCAGAACAAAUCAGGGCCAUGGGCCACCUUGCACAUAGCGAGAGUGGAAAAAUAAAACUACACAAUUGCUUUUUUGAAGCCAGUGACUCAACUGAUUUUGCGCUCGGCAAUUCAUCCGAUUUUCAUUAAAAGGGCCCUAAGAGGCCAUUGGCGUUUUGGGCCUGUGAAAAUUUGGAUGAUUUGGUGUGUCCAAUGCAUGUGUAAGCACAAAUUUUGUUGUCUAAAAUAAAAGACAAGAAAACUUACAUAAAUAUCAAAUUUAUUAAAUUAAAUAACAAGAGGGUUACAAUAUUUGAAAAUUUUUGAAUCAAAGAAAUUAAUCUCCUAAUUUUUAUCUUCAAAAGGCUUUAAUCGGAAGGCCAAAAAGGCUUGUUCUCCGAUCAAGAGGGUGUUUUCUAUGAUUUCUAUGUAAAAAACGGCUGCUUUGAUGAUGACGUUAAUAUUUGAAUCUUUAAAUCUUCAACGCCGAUGGAAGGAGGAUUUAUUUAACUUAAUUUGGAUUUGGAUUUGAAUUUGAGGGAUAAAGCUCUCGACAGAAUUUGACAAAGUUACUUUGAAAUUUAGGAAUUUUAAUGUAUUUUUGCCUUGAGGGAAGACCUUUAUUUAGAGUCAACUUAUGCAAGCUAUGUCUUCAAGAGAAUCCUUCAAAACCAUCUUGCGUUUGGGUAACUUGUACCUUAAGAAACCCAUUUAACUUGGAGUUAAAUAGUGGUCCGACCCAAAUAGUCAAUUGUGAAUUAACAAAUCAAUUAAAUCACUUUAAUUUAAAUGGGCAUCAUAUUUUUUAUUUGAUUAAAUAGCUCAUAUAACAUUGGCUCAAUUUGUCAAUCCAAAACAUAAUGAACUUCUAUAAUUUAAUUCAAUUUAACUAAGAUCAAUUUAAUUUACUUAAUCUUGACUAAAAAUAAAUUAAAUAAAUUUUCGUUGUCUAUGUCCCCACUUCAAAACUUGGCGAGGCAUUGCAUGUUAAUUGCUGGAGGCAAGACUUGAAGUAUUAAUUUUACUGCUGACCUAAAGUCAAACUAAAUUAAAGACUUCAAGCGUUCGGCAUACGGGUGAUCCACUUUUUUUUUUUUUUUUUUUUUUUCCUUUUUCUUUGGGAAGAGAAUGGUCCACAUCAAUUGUAGAAUUGCACCUCAAAGUCCAAUUGAAUAGGCAACGGUCACGGGUCUUCACUUUCACCUACUACUUGAAUAAAGCCUUGAAGCUCUUGAAUUUUCCAACUCUUAAUUUAGUCGUCAAUGGAAGUGCAGCCCCACAAUAUUAGACCGCAACUUUGACCCGUAGAAUUAGAAACCCCCGUUUGAUUAUGCGAUGUGGGCUCCUGCGCAGAAACUCCCAUAUGCUGAAAUUUGGAGUUUGCUCGUACGUUUCUGACCACCAAAUCUUGUUUUGGCACUUGGCAAUAUGGAAUUUGCUGAGUUUCAACGCUUCCUAAACGGAACUUUAAUGUAUUUCCAAAACCAAUGUUUGCAACUUCUGAAUAAGAAUAUGCCAAAUUUUAAGAGCUUCCCAAAUUGACUUCCAGCCAUUGAAAUUAUUCUUGGGAACCAAAUUCAAAUGAUUUCCAAAAAGUUAAACGAUAAUCACUGAAUUUAGUAUCUGUCCAAAACUUAAAACUUCUUAAUAUGAUUCAUCUAAGCACCUUUAUAUAUAUAUAUAUAUAUAUAUAUAUAUAUAUAUAUAUAGGUACAGAAGACAUGUCUUUGUCUUGAAACUGUGACAAACAGGACAUUUAUGACAAGGGCGUGUGAAGACUACCACGCUAUUUGAGGGAAAAAAAACCUGUUUGACACGUAUAUCUUGAAGGUAAUCAUCUUUAUUGUCUUUUGACAACUUCAUGUUGGUCGAGUAUCAGAUAUUCACCAAAUUUUGUUGAAAUCUGUCAAAACUUGAUUUGUUUCUAAUUUGGAGAAAAAAAAAGAUUUUUUUCUUCGUUUCUGCAAUUUUCCAGGUCACUCUUUCCUCUCAACAUGUUACGAUUCAGAAAUUGAGACAAAUCUUGUACAUAGGAAUCUUUUUUAACAGCUGAUGGUUGGAAUUUAGCAGACACCUUGAAGUCAAAGAAGGCAACUAGCAUUCCAAUAGCAUUAUUUGGUUGCAUGCCAUAUCCAAGAUUUUCACUAGUAAGCCACCAUUUUCUUGCUUUUGAUUGUUAUUCUUUCUCUGUUGCACAAUUUUAUUUUCGCACAAUCCAUUUUUUUUCUUUGAAUUUUCUCUUUUGCAAAACAGAGACCACCAAGGAAAGACAGAAAGAUUUUUUGUUUUUGUUUUUGUUUUUGUUUUUGUUUUUGUUUUUUUUUUUUAUGGUUGCACCUUGUGUUGGCACCCCUUAUUUGAAGCAAGUUGAUGUUCCAGUUGUGUUGGGGAUUUUAGGGCCAUAGCUCUUAGAACUCAAAAUACUAAUGUAAUUUCCGCACUCCAUGACAUUUACUUCUUGUCAAUGCCAAACUCUCCUCUUUUUUUUUGUGAUAUGAAAGGAAGAUCUCUCGUUGCAACAUAUAUGGUGGACACUCAAUUUGAAAGAAGGUGCAACCACCAACUUGCACGAGAGCCAUAUCAUGGUUUGAGGAGUAUAAUGAAAAUGAUGCAACUGCAAACUCUUAUGAGAGCCAUAUCAUGGUUGAGAAGUACAAUGAAGAUAGUGCAAUCAAAAAUUUGAAAAAGGUGCAAUCGCAAACUCCCAUGAGAGCCUAUCAUGGAUUGAGGAGUACAACGAAGAAGGUGCCACAAAAUGUCGAAAAAUGUGCAAUCGCAAACUUGCACGAGAGCCUAUCAUGGUUUGAGGAGUACAAUGAAGAAAGUGCAACUACCCACUUCAAUGAGAGCUUACCAAAACUCGAGAAGCCCUUUCAUUUAACUUCACAUUGACUAUUUAUUACUUCUCUCACUGUCUUCGAUCACACCAUUGUAAUCAAAUUUUUUUCUCUUGCUUUUAUUGCAAGUUGGUCCUAACGAAAUGGUGAUGGUCAAGGAAGUUACAUCUUCAAACAAAAGGUACCUCCUUAUCACUAAUAGCCAUGAUGACUCUGCUGACAAAGGAAUGAAAUUAUUGGUGCAUCCCUCUAUACAAGAAACUUACUCUGGUGAUUGGUUUUCUCACAAAUAUUCCGAAUUAAAGGAUUGGUCACUAAAAUUUUCUCAAGAUGAUGGUACAAAAGUUCACUCCUUGAAAUUCCUUAUCAUAAUAAGGAGCCAAGGACAAUUGGCAGGCGAAUCAUAGAUGAAGACACACACUGGGGUGCUUCCUUGAGAUUUAGUGAUGAAUUUGGUUAUAUCGAGAAUUAUUAGGAGCGGUUGGAAGAUAUUUUUGGAAAAAACAAACAAGUGUUUCGUGAAAAUUACUUGUUCGAUGUCUUAUAUGCUUCGCUUCUCAUAUAUAACAAAAAUUCUCAUGUGUUUAGAGCAUUUUGCGAGACAUGGUGCCUAAACACUAAUACCUUGCAUAUGUCAAUUGGAGAAUUAUCUCUCUCACUUUGGGAUCUGUGUAAAUUAGAAGGACUUCCAAUCAUCGGAUACAUCUAUGAAGAGGCGAUCCCAUGUGUAGAGGAACUAACUGGAGUUAAUGAAAAGAAGUUGAUGCAUAUUCCGCAAAAUUGUGAGUAUUUGUUCGCGGCUCUGCACUACCUUCAACAUGGAGAAUACUACAAUUAUGGAGUUUCUGCUAGCCAAUAGAUUAACUUUUGGUUUAAAGGCAACGUGAGGUAUUCAAAACCAAAACAGAGAAGGAUAAAGAGAGCAUCUAGUGCUUAAGCAACCCAAAAUCCAGAUGGAAAGAUUGGACAACCACGUAAUUUUUAAUUCAAGACAAUGGCAUAUAUGAUACCAUUGGAGACAAGUCUCACUUACGAGAAGAGACUUAUCUUGUAGCAUUUAUAUCUUGUUGACUCUACGUUUUUACUCUACCAGAUGAGGACGUCUAUUAUAUUAGACUAUCUACCUUCAAAAUGGCUAGCAUGAUGGCUGUCGGAUAUAAAACUUGCCUUGCUGUUCCUGUCUUGCUGAGUAUCUAUCACGGAUUCAAUAAAAUUUCAAAUUCAUCUACUCCAAGGUGUGCGCGUGCAUUUUUUUCAAUGCACUACGUGUAUGCUUAACUGGCGAGUUAUUUCUCUACCCAUUAUUCAACUCCGAAUAUCAUGCCUGGACCAACAAUUAUCAAUUAUUCUGGAAAGGGUGUGCACAAUAUUUUGAUGAAAAUAGUGCUUGCGACCUCAUUCAUCAAGGAGACAAAGUAACUUGGGGGACAACUUCUCUUGUGAAGAAUUAAAAUGAAUUUUUUGUUGAUGAUGGCAAGUUAGCGAACCCAGAACUGAUUUAUUUCGUAAGUGCUUGCUCAAAUUAUUUAGUCUUACAUGCUGAAGGAGAUUUUCUUGUUGAGCCAUACAGGUUUGCAAGGCAAUUCGAAUUUUAUCAAAACACCCCACAAGAACUGGGAGCAGAUGUUCAUUCUACAAAUUAUGACUUGAGUCAAAUACUUUGACACAUUGCUAUUCAUAAUAAGACAGAGUCGAAGGUAUUUUUUUCUAGUUACCCCUUGAAUGCUAACAAGCAUAUAUCUCCAGAUUUUCAAACAUGAUGUUUUGAUUAAGAGUGUCCAACCAAAUUUGAAACAGAAGAAAUCGAAAGGAAAGAAACUUGCAAAUUUGAAUAAUCCUGUCAAGGUUGGCAGUAAUCUUGAGGCGAAACAGAAAAUCACCAAGACUGUGAGGAUUGAGGAGAAAGCAUUGCAGAGCUCCAGCAACUCGUGAAAUUCUAAUUUUCAAUGAAGAAUUUUCGAAUGGUAAUUCAUUUUGUCUUCCUUCAAUAAUUGUAAAAGCCACCAAUCAUGAGUCUCGCAAUUCCAAUGAAAAGAAGAGGAGCAACUCUUUUGAUGAGAAGGAUGAGCAAUCUACUAGUACAGACUAGCACUAGAAGCAUAAGAAAUUCAAGGUAAUGACUUUCUCUUUGGAUGAUAUUGUUUUAGACCCUAAAGAAAUGUUUAAGGACAUUCUGGACAAAUAUGUGCUUGGUAUAAGUCAUGCCAAUAUUAUAAGAACAUUCUCUUGCCUUCUUUAGUUUGGCAUUUGAAAUUUACUUAUCAAUUUCAUAUUCAUGAUAUGUCUCAUAACAUUUUCCAUGUAGUUGAAUGAUCAAAACUUGAUUUUUAUUAAUGAUGGGAAAUCAAGCUAAGAAUUCGUUGAAGGACCCACUAUAUUUUAACUUUUAACAAAACAAGUGGUCAAUUCUACUCAAUAAAAGGGCAUCAUUGAAAAUUUCAAAAAGGCAGUGCAUGAUGAAAAUUCAGUUCAACAAAUCAUGCUACAGAAGAAAGAACAUGUGACUUCACCGGAGAAAAAAAAGUUCAAAAUUUUUGAUCCACAACCGUAGCCAAGGGCACCUCAAGUGUCUGAAUUUUGCCCCCAAACUAUGAUCUUAACAUGUCAUCGAGAUUACAUUCAAAUGCUCUGAAAUAAUUUGAAGGUGCUGAUAUCCGAAACAAUCCUGGAACGCAUUUCUGCUCUUAAGAUGAAAGCAAAUGAAAUCAUGGAGGAAAUGCAAAGUUUCAAUGCUAUGAAUAUUUCAAACUUGUAAGGCCUUUUAAAGCCUUUCUUUACAAAACCAAUUCGUUCUGUCGUAAUAAAGUCUUCUUUCUCAAAUAAAAUUUCAAUUGAAUCAUAUAAUGAGUUGUUUUCUAUAGCUACCCAACAUCUUAGAGAUGCUCAGAGUAAGGAGAAAUAAUAACUUAAAAAGUUCUCAACGUACAUGUUAAAAUUUAAAGAGAUUGACCAUGAGAAAAUAGAGCUAAGGAAAUGACUUGAAUCUAUGGGUACUCAUAGGAUGGAAAUACUUUCACUGCUACGAAAGAAACAAGACGAGCUUACCUAAAUGCAAGGCAAGAUGAUCAACUUAUGAAAUGAAAUUCAAAAGAUUGAAGAUUCCCUAUCUUUACUUGUUGAGGAGAGCCAAACAUUGAACAAAAUGCAAGCACUACUUGAAAGCAACUGCAAAAAACUGUCAUCAUUUGAACUUUAGAAUUAGUUACAAUCUUUUACUUUUUUCAAAUUUUAUUUAUUGUCACUUGCCUAUAUUAUAUAGCCACAGGCAUAAUUAAUUUUUUAUUUCACCAUGAAUCAUGAUUUUUUUUAUUUCAUGAUACUCUUGUGGAUAUUUCUUACUUUCCUUUGUUGCUUUCAUUAACCACCAUUUUAGACUAUCGAUUGCAAAAUAAACAAUUCAACAUUUGCAUAAUUUUAAUCACAUUUGAAGAGGUAAUUGUCUACAUAAUUUGAUAAUUUGAACAAUAUACUUUCAGGUGUAUGUUGCAAAGUAAUUUGAAUUGCCCUAAAGAGAAAAACUUUUUAUCUUUUAUUGCAUGACAUCUUUAUGGGGUUGUAACUGAAUUUCGAAGUUACCAUCUAAACUGUUUGCAUAUCCCAAAAGGGAAUAAAUUCACGUGUAGUUCCUACCAUCCACAGUUUAAUUUCUUGCAGGUCAGGAGUAUCUAUUUGCUUAUCACUUUAAACUUGGUGGAGUGUUUUAGUAGUUUAACCAUAUACUACACUAUUGGUGAUUGCCGUCCACAGUUUUAACUCAUAUGGACCAAGAGCAACAUGCAGUUUAGACUCAUGUGUCAUGAAACAACAUGCAGUUUAGGGUCAUGCGUCAUGUUGUCCUUUAUUUUUUUUAUGGCGUGUAUAAUCUUAAGAAAUUUUCAUUUAUGGGUCAACAUUUACACCAUUUUGUCAACUACCUUGUACGCGUUAUUUGUAUAAACAUUUCGGAUAAUAUAUGGUCCAUCCUAUUCGGAGACAAAUUUAUCUUUAGCAUGAUGAGUCAUAACUAUUGAUUUUCGAACGGCGAACACUAUGUCACCAAUUUGAAAGGAAUGAUGAUGAUAGCUUUAGAAAGGUAAGCCUGGUAGCAUUCAAGAUUUUGUUGAGUUUCCAAUUCCUUUUCAUCUAAAGUUUCUAAUUCUUUAAGAAGCAAGCAAAUAUUUUCUUUCUCCAUGAGCCCUUAUUGGAUGGCAAUUCUCAGAGAAAGAAUUUGUUGUUCAAGAAGCAAGACAACUUCUACACCAUAAACUAAGGCAUCAGGGGUGGCUUGCAUUGGAAUUCGAUAUGUGGUGCGAUAAACGCAGAGAGUUUCACCUAUCAUUUCAUGCCAAUCCUUCUUUGAUCUGGCCAUCACUUUUUUCAACAAGUUGCAUAGAGUUUUAUUGAAUGCCUAAACAAUACUGUUGGCAGGGACAUUAUACAUAAAGGACUUGCGAUGUUUGAAUUUAAAUUUCUCACACAACCUAUCCAUUAAACAGUUGAAGAAGGGUUUCCAUUAUCAGUGAUAAUGUGUUAGAGAAUUUCAUAACGAUAAAUAAUAUUUACACGAAUGAAAUUCACCAUAUCUUCUUUUCUCACUUGAGUGGUAUAGUUUCAUCCCAUUUAGAGAAGUAGUUGGUUGUAACCAAUAUAUAUAGAUGUUGUCCGAACGACUUAGGCAAUGGUCCAACAACAUUAAGGUCCCAGGCAUCAAAAGGCUAAGAAGUAAUAGUCAAAUGUAAUAGUUCGGGUAAUUGAUGAAUGUAAUUUGCAUAGAAUUGACAAGUUUGACACCUUUGAGCGUAUUCCAUACAAUCUUUGACCAUAGUAAGGCAAUAAUAGCCCAUCAUUUUAAUCCAAAAAUGCAACUUGGGACCGAAUUGGUGAGUUUGACAUAUUUCAAAAUGUGCCUCUUGCAUAGCUUGAUAUUCAUUAUCUUCAUUCAGACAGCGCAAGAAUACACUUUCAAAUGAUUUUUGAUAUAGCGUAUCUUUGUAUAAGAUGAAACGGGGGCACGACAAUAGAUAUCAAAUCUUUUAUGUUGCUCCUUAGGUACCUUUUGAUACUUGAUAUAAUUGAUAACAGGUUGUCUCCAAUCUUCUUUAUCAACUUCAUAAGUUGAGACGACAUAAGCAUCACCUUCCUCAAUAUUUUCAUUAUCAAAUAAUGGUGAAACUAUCCACUUUUGAUACACACGAACUUGUAUUUCAUAAUUUGACAUAGUCAGAGAAGAAGCAAGCAUAGCUAAUGCAUGAGUUUGCUUAUUUUCUCUUUUAGGGACAUGUUCAAUACUUGUACCUUCAAGUUACCUUAUAAGUUGCGUUGCAUUCUUGUGAUAUGGAAUUAAUUUAAAUUUUUUAACAUCAUAAUUUCCCAAGGGUUGACUAACGACUAAUUGUGAGUUGCCAUAGAUUUGAAACUCAAAUUAUUUCAUGUCAAUAGUUAUUUCAAGUCCGAAUAUGAGGGUUUGAUACUUAACGACAUUAUUUGAACAACGUUGAUUUAGAAUAAAGGAGUAUGGCAAAACUUCUUCAUCAGAUGUUGUAAAUACAAUUUUGACUCCAACUCCAUGACGAUGAGUAGCAGAUUUCAAUAAGGAGUACAUUUUUAUUUGGUAGAUCAUCACUUAACUCCCAUUCAACAAGUAUCGGGUGAUCAAUAAGAAAAUCUACUAGUACUUAACCCUUCACGGCCUUUUGGAAUACAUAAAUAAUUUUAAAUUAUUGUAACUAGGUACCAUUUAGCUAGACAGUUGGAUAGUGUUGGUCUACUUAUCACGUAUUUUAUGAAGUUUGCCUUGAAGAUGAGUCUCACACUGUGUGCUUGAAAGUAGUGUUUUAACUUCUAUAUUAUAAAAAUAAGAGUUAAACACAACUUUUCAAUCGGUGAGUAGUUUAAUUUAUUAGAGAUCAUCAUAAAUAAUAAAGGGCAGUUUCUUUCACUUCAUUAUUUUCUUGUGCAACCAAUACCUCCACUAAACGUUCUUGGGUAACAAUGUAAAGAAUUAAUGGCUUUCUAUAAAUAGGUUCAAUCAAGACAGAUGCCUUCAUGAGAUAAGAUUUAAUGCUAUUGAAUGUAUUGCUGUACGCUUCAUUCCAUUGGAAUGGUACACCUUUCUUCAUAAGGUGAUUAAAUGGUUGACACCUUUCAAUUAAAUUUGAGAUAAACCUCCACAGAUAGGUUAAUCGCUCUUGAAGGCUUUUUAUUUCUGAAUAUUGCGAGAUUCAGGCAUUCUCAAUAUAGCAUCAAUGUUGACUCGAUCAAUUUUAAUACCUCGAUGACAGACCACAAAAUCAAGAAACUUUCCUGAUGUAACUCUAAAUGCACAUUUGAGAGGAUUCAAUUUGAGUUGAUAUAUUUUCAACCGAUCAAAAUUUUGUUUCAAAUCCUCCAAGUGAUUAUUUCUUUUUUUUUUUAUUUAACAACCAAAUCGUCCAUAUAACAUUUAAUAUUUUUAUGAAGCAUGUCAUCAAAAAUAUUUUACAUUAAUCUUUGAUAUGUAGUUUUGAUAUUUUCAAACUAAAGGGUAUUAUGUUAUAACAAUAAAUACCCUUAGGAGUAUGAAAUCUAGUGAGUUAUUUAUCCUCAGGUGUUAUUCGAAUUUGAUUAUAGUUAGAAAAGCUAUCCAUAAACGACAAACCCUCAGACCCAAUAAUUGCAUUAAUCAUGAGUUUGGUGAUGGGUAGAGAAAAAUCAUCUUUGGAACAAGCACUGUUAAGAUCCCUAAAAUUUACGUAGAUGUGAAUUUGCCUGUUCUUCUUUCGUACAGACAUGAUAUUUGAAAUUCAUGUGAAAGACUUAAAUUCAUGAAUAAAUCCAUCAUCAGUGAAUUUAUUGAUUUCAACUUCGAUCAAAUAGACCAAAUCGGGUCUAAAUCACCAUUGUACUUACAUUACAGGUCGAACUCCCUUUUUAAUAGGUAAAUGGUGGACUGCUACUUUUGAAUUUAGACCUAACAUUUCUUUAUAAGUUCAUGUAAAAAUAUCUUGAUACUCUUGCAAGAACUCAACAUAUGUCUUCUCUUCAUCAGAAUUCAAUAAAGCACUUACCUAUAUAGGAUAUGGGUCCUGUGAAGUGCCAAAAUUGAUUUUUUAAGUCAUCUACAGUGGCCUUAACGCCUUGUUCAAAUUCAGGUGAAGCAUCUUCAACAUCUUCUUCUUCUCCAAGGGAAUUAUUAUCAAAUAUGGUUAUAUGGUUGUAUGAAACAAUACUUUCUUCAUCAUCUUCCUUUGAUCUUGUUUCUACAAUAGUAUGCUCUCUAACCUUUAGUUCAGUCCCAUAAAUUAUUAUAAGAUUUGUACAUCUCCUCAUUCUUGAGAGAAUAAUGUUACCAAACUUAUAAAUGUUAUGGGGACAAUCAAAAGAUUCUUCAAAUUCUUUCAGUGAUUUUGUCAUUCUCCAUUUAUUCUUAUGAGAAUUUUGAGACUUUUAUUUUCUUUGUGGUCCUAGUCUUUUGAAGACGAAUACUCACAGAGCCUUAUCCCUAUUUUUAUGAAAAACGUGUGACUUAUUGACUAUUUUAGAAGAUUCAUCUCUUAUAGCAAUAAAUUGACUACCAGCUCUAUUGAUUUUGAUGCGAAUUGGUACAGGUGAAAAAUAGUAAAGAUCAGAUUUAGAAUUCUUAACAGCAUAUCCUUUCCCUUUCAACAUCUUUUGAGUAAGGUUUAACCCAUAAGUCACAUCGCUAGUGGCUUGAGGAGGUUUCAAUACCAGAGAUUUCUUGAAAUCAUACCCAAUUUUGGUAAGAAGUUUAUAAGCAAUAUAAUCAAAAGCUUCAUUAAUUCUUGACGUCAGUAGCAUAUCUUGCUUGAUGUCAAACUCUUUAUUAAGAUGAUCAAACCCUUUGAUUAAAGGCGAUGGUAUAUUCGUAGCAUCAAGUUUAGCCACAGGAAGAGUUAAUCCUUUCAGAGUUUUGUGUGGAAUUGAAGAUGGUUGUCCUUGUCCCAAUCUUGACUUGGGAGGGUAUCCGAAGACAACUGAUUUAUUUUUUAACAAUGAGGCAUCAAUUUUUUUAUGAACUACCUCUUUUGAUUUUGGAAUCACCACUUUCUUCGUUUUGCACUUGAUGAUUCGAGAUCUUGGAUUUUAACCAUAGAUGGAGAUUGUUUAAACUCAUUCUUUAUGUUAUACUGAUUUAUUUUUUAACAAUGAGGCAUCAAUUUCUUUCUGAACUACCUCUUUUGAUUUUGGAAUCACCACUUUCUUCCUUUUGCACUUGAUGAUUCGAGAUCUUGGAUUUUAACCACAGAUGGAGAUUGUUUAAACUCAUUCUUUAUGUUAUAUUUUUGGAUAUAAAAUUUAGCAUUAGCGAUAUGCAUUUCUACUUCAGUGUAAAGAUUAUAAUCAGUUUUCACACUUUUUACCACUCCAUUUCGGUAAUACUUGAAAUAUUGGUGAAGAGUUGAAAGCACAACCCCAUUUUCAUGAAUCCAGGGUCUUCCCAGUAGCAUAUUAUUUAUUGUUUUAGUAUCUAUUACAUACAGUUGUGCUUUAGACAAUAUAUCAUCGAUAACUAUCUCUAAAUUUAACGAUCCAAUAGCUCUUUGCCCUCCUUGAUUAAGGUCUUGUAUUAUUAGUCAGCUUAUUGGAAAGUUUAUCAAUGGAGAUGCCAAAUUCCUUUAGAGUUUUUAAGACAAGGCUAUUGACAGCAGAACCUCUCUCUAUCAAAAUUUUAUUCACAUUUUAUUUUUUAGCAUAAACAGUUACAAACAAAGGACGGUUAUGUGAUGUUGACCCAAAAAACAAGUUGAUAGGGUGUUAAUUGUUAGUAAUUUUAUUGCUAUUUUUCCCCUUUGUCCUUGCCAAAUAUUAUUUUAAUUGUUAACAUAUACUUAUUUUUGGUAUUUGGACCAAUCUACAGGAAGUGGAACUGACAAAUGCUAAAAAGGAGAUUUUAUUGAGAAAAAUCCUUCACAUGCUAGAGCCUCCAGCGGAUAUACAAGUUGGGCCCACAUGGUGUUACAAAUUCGGUUGCUGAUGGGGAGCUCUUAUUAUUGGGAGUUGACUUGUACGUGUAGGAGUCCUCCUACCAAGAGGAAACAAGAAAAAAGGAAUUCGGCAGAGGCCCAUCUUUUGUACUUAGCUUUCUCAAUUCGGUAGGGACCAUGGACUAGAGGUUUUCAUUAGUGAUUGGACUUUAAAAGGGAAGAAACGUAUAGAGGCUUGGGGAUUAUUAUGAUUAGCGUAGCUUUAGUUUUAGUGGUUAGCUAGCGUUUCCUUUUCAUGCGCACGAGGUGCUCGACAAUAUUUUUCAACGGGAAAAAAAAACAUCUUUUACUCUUGCUUUCUAGUGAAAAACUUGAUGCCUUUGCAAUCAAUUAAUUUGCGUGGAGAUUUAAUUAUGCGGCGUGGCUAAGCCUUUUAUCUAGUCAAGGAUCAACUCGACGGCGCAGUCCCAAAUAUCUGUGAGAUCUAAUUAGUUUUCACGCGUUUCUUAAUUUGUUAAUAUUUGCAUGUUGCCUAUUUGAAUUUCCACGGGAUUAUUUUGUUAAUUGGAUAUCAAGAGCCCGAUGUUCAAUGUGACUUAUUAAUUUCCUGCCAAAUUAGUCAAUUAAAUCCGUAAUUGUUUGAUUGAUUAAUAUUAGUAGCAACUGACAUGUUUACACACUAGAAGAACGUGCAAUCUAAUUUAAAUAACCCUCGUAGCGUGUUAUUGAUUGGGAUUAGAUUUUUCUAGUUAUUAAUGCAAUUGGGAAAUUAAUUCAUACAGUUGUACCUAGGAGUAUUUUCUGGUUAGGAGUAAUCAUUGGUCGUACCUUGGUUAUCAAUAAAUUAAGGAAAAAUUGGUCGUUAGAAUUCGUCGGCGACUAUAACUAGCCUAUUAAUAAAUUAAGUGAACCUCCCUUGCAUCAAUGAUCGGGUAAGUGGACUGUGUCUGAGUAGUUGUAUUCUUAACUAAAAUUUAUCUAUUCUUGAUUUAAUUCCUGCCUAUAUUCGUGCUAAUUAAUUAUUUAUUUUUAGUGAAUUGCUUAAUUAUUUUUAGUUUUACUCCAAUAAAAUUCCUCUUUACCAAUUGGAAUCUCAAAAAGACAAAUAUUCUCAGUCCCUGAAGAGACGACCCUACUUGCCAUUGUCUACUAUUUAGUAAGUUUUGUCAACUAAUUAAUUUUGGUAUAUCGGAUUAAGCAAAUUUUUCGGGAACAGGGUGAAUUAAGUAACCUAUUGCACAUCUAGAGUCCCGGCUCUAAUAUCUAGGAUUCAUUAUUGACUGCUUUUAGUGGUAUUUAGGUUAUUAUUAUUAUUAUUGCACAGUCUCGACACCUGUCAAUUUUUGGCGUCGCUGCCAGGGACUGGCGUUAAUUAUUUGUUUUUUUAAGUUCAAUUUUGUUCUAAUUUUCUGGUAUUUUUUCUAAUUUAUGCAUCAUUCUUCUCGUAUAAGUGAAUUAAUUUUCGACCCUGAAGUAGAGAAGAUCGCGCGUAGAACGAGAAAAGAAACCAGACAAUUCAGAGAAGAGCACUCAAGUACUACAUCUCAGAGACUUGAGCCGGAAGUUGAACCGGCAAAUUCGUUUGGUAACACUUCGAGUGACUCGGAUCAAGAGAAACUCACCAUGGCAAAUGCACAAACAUUAAGGGAGUUGGCUGCUUCUAAUUUAAAUCAACAGCCUUUAUGCAUUGCUUUCCCAAGUUUGAAUGAUGACACCCUCUUUGAACUAAAAUCUGGUCUAAUUCAUCUCUUGCCAUCUUUUCAUGGUUUACCAGGUAAGGAGCCCUACAAACAUUUACAAGAGUUUGAUGUUGUUUGCAACAGUAUGAAACCCCCGGGAAUCACAGAAAAGCUGAUAAAAAUGAGGGCCCUCCCCUUCUCUUUGAAGGAUUCAGCGAAAGAUUGGCUAUACUACCUACCACCAGGUAGUAUCACCACGUGGGACCAGUUGAAAAAAAAAUUCUUAGACAAAUAUUUUCCUGCGUCUCGGGCCGCCAGCUUAAGGAAAGAGAUAUGCGGUAUCAAACAACACCCAGGCGAGUCUCUCUAUGAGUACUGCGAGAGGUUUAAGAAGCUGUGUAUCAAAUGCCCUCAGCAUCAGAUAAGUGAGCAACUGCUCAUCCAAUAUUUCUAUGAGGGACUACUCUUCACGGACUGGAGCAUAAUCGAUGUUGCCAGUAAAGGGGCGCUAGUGAACAAGACCCCUCGAAAAUCUUGGGAGUUGAUUGAGGGGAUGGCUGAAAAUUCACAGCAGUUUGGUGGGCAGUGGCGAUGGCGAAGGCUCGCGGGGGUGGAAGAGCCGUUGGCGCGACUGGGGCCGCGCGGCUGCUAGAAUCUAGUUGCAUCAGUCUCUGUGGUCCUUGGGAUCUUUGAUUCGGCUGUUCCAUAGCUUGUCGAUCCUUUGUUGCAUCCCUGUAGGCAUUGUAAUUCCUGUUGAUUGAGUUGUUAUCUAGUUUUUGAGGGCACCUCUAGUAGUUCCUUUAUUUGGGAGUUAUUUGGGGUUGAGUUGGGAGUUAUUGGCCAAUUGAUUCCUAUUUUGCUUUCGUCCUGUUUCUGGUACUGUAUGGUUUUGAUUGGGGGGUGUCUCAGUGGUUUGGGUUGCCUGUUUGAAUUGGUUCUUACCUGUGUGUGCACCAGUGGUACUGGUUGUGUUGGGAAUCCGUGACUGAUUUGUUCUUGUCCAAUUGAAGCCAUUUUGAGCAAUUUUGGGGUGAACACAUUUUGUCAUUAAUUGUUGAUUGUUGGGGGACGUUUUUGGUAACACUUGAGUUGAUAGGGUGUUAAUUAUUGGUUAUUUUAUUAUUAAUCUCCCUUUUUAUUCUUGCCAAAUAUUGCUUAAUUGUUAAUAUUUACUCAUAUUUGGUAUCUGGACUUAAUUUCAGGAAUGAAGUAGAAAACUACCAAAAAGGAGGGAUUUUAUGGAGAAUAUGGAAACUUCUAAGGGCUUCAAUUCUUGGGCCCUUGAAUUGGUGGGGACCACAAGCUAGUGAAAGGCAUUUAGUCAUUUGAGCUCUUCAAAAGAAGCUACGUAUAUUUUAUUUUAUUUUAUUUUAUUUAUUUUAUUUAUCUCUUAUUUUUUUUUAUAUAGUUUAUGGCUUCUAACACUUCGUAUUUUGGUGAUAUACUGGAUUUUGUUUCCGGGAAAGGCAAUGUGACUAGUUUUUUUGCUAAGUCUGCAUAUGCAGAGGCACUAAACUCUAUUAGAGAAAGAAUGGCUGCUGCAACCUGUAAAAUUUGUUAUACCAGGGAUCAUUCAACCGGUAUGUGCCCCGAAUAUCAAGAUAAUCUGAGUGUCCCAUUCGAUAAUUAUGGAGAAUUUUCACCCUGGUCUCAAACGUGGUACGACCCUAAUCCAAACGGGUAUGAUCAAGGAUGGUGGGAUAACUCCAAUUAUAAUUAUACAACGGGACCAAUGAAUUUUCAGCAGUAUGAGUCUCAAGAAUCGUCAUCUAUGUCAGGUAUGUCUCUUGAAGAAAUAGUUGAACCAAUAGCUACUAACACAUACCAAUUCCAACAGGAGACACAAAUGAGGAAUGAGAUGAUGAAGGAUGCAAUGAGUUAUCUGGCAGAUCAACUAUGUCUAUUGACAUCCAGAAUAAAUCGAUGGGCUUCUCAAAUGGAAGAACUGCCCUCGAAAACCAUUGUUGACCUAGAAGAAAAUGAGAGUGCAAUUUGCUUGACUAGUGAUGAGGAGAUGCAAGAGUGUCAAAAUGAAAAAUCUACAGAUACAGUUGAAAAAGAAGCCGAAAAGGAAGAAAUGGAACCCCAACCGCAACCCAUUCAAGUGAAAGAAUCCAGUGAAGAAUCAUCAAAUGUGGUGACACCACCUCCAUUCCCUAACCCGCAUUUUUUCUAACUCUUACUCUAUGAUUUCUGUUAAUGAGAUUGAUUUUGUUAUACCGGAAGUUUUUGAGUCUCAUGGCAGAAAUAAGUUGAGAGUGGAGAUGGCGAAAUAUCUUGAACCGUUGAAUGCUCUUGAUGGAGGAAUGGAUGAAGAAUUGCGAUCAAUGCUUGAUUAUGUGGCGCCAUCAACUAGUCCAUGGAAGCCCGUGGUUCGUGUGCUCAAAGAUUACUCCAUCUAUGAGGGUUACCAGGAUCAUAUUGAAGAUGAAGCAUUGAAGCGAGCUACAAGAUUUUAUCCUCCAUGAACAAGACAUAACAAUGUCUAGCCAAAGACAUUAAAGAAAGGCGUUUUUUGGGAGGCAACCCAAAUAUUGAUUUUAUUAUUUUUAGUUGUUCAAUUCUUUCGUUCUGUUGUUUCUCAUUUGGAUAGUAGUUGGUCUUGAUAUUUUUCUCCACUGUGAUCAGGAAGUGAAAUCUUGGCGUGCCCACGCGGUGUUUAGGUCUCCUGAGAUCAGAGGACGAACACCAAUCUUGGCGUGCCCACGCGGUGUUUGGGUCUCCUGAGGUCAGUGAAUGUUUUGUAAUCUUGGCAUGCCCACGCGGUGUUUGACGACCCAAAACAUGAAAAAAAAAAAGUUUCAAAAUUUCACAUUGAGAAAAUUCAAAAAUUCAAAAGGCAUUUUUCUUUUUCUUCAAAAAUUCAAAUUUUGGAAUUUCAAAUUCAGGAAAAAAUUUGAAAAAAAAACAUUGAGAAAAAAAAACCCAAAAAGAAAAAAUUAAGAUUCAAAAAAAAAAAAAAACUAUUUUUUUUUCUCUCUUUUUCUUUUUCUCUUUUCUUUUUCUUUUUUCUUUUCUUCUUUUUUCUUUCUUUCUUCCUUCACCACCGCAGCAGCUACCCCACGCGACUCUCCUCCGCCUACCCCAGCGCACAGCCCAGGCCACGCGCUCCCUCCUUCCUGCAGCCCGUCGACGAAGCCCACCAGCCACCACCAGCAGGCCGCGGCUCCUUCCCCCUUGCGCGGCCACAGCUCGCGAACCACCUCUCCCACAGCGCGCGGCCUUCUCCCUUAUCUUUUGGCCGCGCGUCAUUGGCUCGCCCAAGGGCAGCCGCCGCCGCCGUUCCUCACAGUCAAGCAAUCGCAGGCCAAAGCCCACAACCCCAGCCGGCGCCGCCCGCAGCUCCUCGUGCGUGACAGCCGUGCGACGCCGCGCCUCCCUCAGCAACAGCUCCAAGCUCCAGCUCACUCGCAGACAGCCGCGCGAUUCUCAGCCAUUCACCUCGCGCGACCCCGAGCGCACAAUUCCGCGUGCCGCCAUCGAAGACCGCCGCGCCUCUCCCUCAGCCCGCCAUUGCGCCCCACCACUGUCCCGCUGUCUACGGUUGGGCACAAGGGAGGUACUUUUAAAAGAAAUUUUUAAUUUAAAUACGAGAAUGUCAAUUUCUAAAUUCUGGGGCUGUUUAGUGAUUGUUUGGAUUUCUUGGUGGAUUUGGUUGGCCGUCUGAUUAAAUUCUUCCUUGUGUGAUAACCAGUGGUACUGGUUGGGGUCUUUCGACCAUAGUUGUUGCUUAUAUUUGGUCAGAUGUCUGCUUGUUUGAAAGUUCACGUUCUUGUGAUUGAGUUGUUGCUCAAAUUCUGAUCUGCUGUUGCUAGAACUUUUGGUUGGUUGAGUUGUGCAAUUGACUGUCCAAUUGGAGACAGUUAUUGAGAUCUUAGGUGGGAUGGUGUCCAAUUGCUAAAAUUUGUUGCUUUGUUUCGUCACUCGCACUGCUCCUAGUUUGUUCGAGUGAAAUUGGUUGGAUGUUCUUUGCCCGUGGAGUGUAACUGUUACAUUGUUUGGGGCAGUUUUUUGGUAUUGAUUGAAUUGUUGGGCGUAAAUUGCUCAGGACUUUACAUUGCUAAUUUGGUGGGCCAUUUAUUGUGCAUUACCCUUUUGAAUUGGGAGAUACCUGUGCUUAUUGGGUUUUGACUACUUGAGAUUUCUGUUGCAUCUGGGGGAUAAAAUUUGAUGACUUUUGUGCCAGUUUAUUUGUUUGGAAAUUGUUGGGGGUAAUUUGGGAGUUACUUGUCAAUUGGGUCCCGUGUUACCCUCUACCAUUCAGUGGUACUGAUUGGUGUGUUUGGCUUUAUCACAUGUCUUGGGUUGGCCAUUUGAUUUCAAUUUUCCUUGUGCAUGCACCAGUGGUACUGGUGAGGGUAGUUUACAUAAUAUUUGUUACUCCUGUGUUAUUGGUUGCCUAAUCGACUACUGGGCAUUUGUGGUUGAAUUGUUUCUGUCCAACUUCUGAACUGUUGUUGCUGGAGUGCCAUUUUCUUGGGUCAAUUGCUGAUUUUAGCAAGUUGAAGUGGGUAAUUGACUGUCCAAUUGGAGACAGUUGUUACGAUAUUGGGUCCGAUUGUGUCUAAUUGCUGGAAGUUGUUGAUUUAUUAAGACACUAGCACAGUUCCUAGUUUGUUCGAGUUGCUGUUCUGUUGCAUUAUUGGGAGCUGUGCUCUAGUAUUGUGGCUACUUUCCUGCGUUUAUUUGUUGAAUUGGGAUAUGAAUGUGCCUAUUGCUCAUUUUGUUGCAUCUAAUUGACUUGCUUGGGGUAAUCUGCCCAUCAAUUUUAAUUACUCAAGUCUUUGGAGCAGUUGUUGCACAUUUGGACUACUUUGUUUCUAUAUCUGACUGAAUUGGGACCACAAGUGCUUAUCAAUUGCAUUUGCUAUAAGUAUUGGGGUAUUCGUAUAGAUUUUAGGAGCCUGCAUUGUGCAUUUUAUUGUUUGGGUUGCCUACUAGUUACCAUGGUGAAGCCACGAUCCUCCCCCAGGGGCCGAUGACUGGCUCCAACUUUCGAUGACAGUUGAGAGACUGGAGACUCGAGUGACCCACAUUGACAUCGACUUGCAUAACAUGGCGCAGAAUUUGGCAGCACUCCGCCCGACCCGCCCCUGUUUUGACAAUUUCAAGGAAGUACCGUUGCCCUUCUCUUUACUUUUGUUGUUGGUUUAUCACAUUGAGGGCAAUGUGUGAUUUAGGUGUGGGGGGAUCAGUUUGGGUGCUAGUAUUUUUAGUUUUUAGGUUCUAGAGGUUUUUCUUUUGUUUUAGUUUGAUAUUUAGUUCUUUUUUUUUCGUCUAUUUUAUUUUAUUAUUAUUAUUUUUUUUUCUUUCUCCUUUUUUCUAGUGGUCAGUCUUCAUAUGAAUACCAAGUUUGAUACUGGAUUGUUGUCUCUAAUUCUGCUAUUGCCAAGUCUUAUUAAUAAAAGGGUAUUAAGUUAAUGUGCUUGAGUUCAGGAAUAUCUCUUUGGUGAAUAUCGGUAAUUGCUUAACUUUUUCAAUUUUUGGUUAACUUUUCUAGGCAUAGGGAAUGAUUGUUGGCAUUUUUCAUGUGAAUUGGUUCAGUUAUUAAUUUUAGUUCUCCAUGUCUGGAAAUUUGAGGCUGGCUGCUGUUAAUCUUAUGUUGCUUUUAGAUAUCGUGUUAUAUGGUUGUAAAUAAGAGUUGACUGUACUCCGCUAGUGGUUACUACUGAGUAACCGGGGAUUUUCACCUAAAGUGUCGAUUCUCGCGUCAAAAGGUAGUAGUUGCUAUGAAUGCGUGGUCCUGUAGCGAUCGGAGCUGAGUAACCGGGCUCCUCCAUCUGAUAAAUGUUGGAGUUCGCGUCAAAAGGCUCUAAAUGGCUAGAGACUAAGUCUUUUGCUAUUCCCAAAAAAAAAAAGAAAAAAAACAAGUAAAGUUUGUGUUAGUAUUUAAAAAAAAAAAAAAGAAAGUCAGCUUGCCUAUUUGUGAUCUUAAUGUCGAGAUUUUGGUUAAUAGAUGGACCAUUUGCUGAUAAAUGUGAGCAACCAUUCCUUUUCCUUAGAUUAGUUUGCUUCAAAUUGAAGGAGUUGGUGGUUUAGAGGCUAAUCGGGGUGAUUUUUCUUGGAUGUUGACCUGUGAUGCUUGAUAUUUAUUUUUCUUGGACAUCUUGGCAAUACGGUAGUUGGAGUAACAGCCAUGGUCAACUUUUGGUGUUCAAUUGUUGUUCCCAUACUUGAGGGCAAACAUGAUUUAGGUGUGGGGGGAAUUGAUAGGGUGUUAAUUAUUGGUUAUUUUAUUAUUAAUCUCCCUUUUUAUCCUUGUCAAAUAUUGCUUAAUUGUUAAUAUUUACUCAUAUUUGGUAUCUGGAUUUAAUUUCAGGAAUGAAGUAGAAAACUACCAAAAAGGAGGGAUUUUAUGGAGAAUAUGGAAACUUCUAAGGGCUUCAAUUCUUGGGCCCUUGAAUUGGUGGGGACCACAAGCUAGUGAAAGGCAUUUAGUCAUUUGGGCUCUUCAAAAGAAGUUACAUAGAGAGACUUGGAGAAAGAAGUACUUUGGAGGCUUUGUCCAUAUGUGUGGGGACCACCUAGAUAGCUUUUAGUCAUCUUUCUUUUGUUGCUUUAAAAGGGGACAACGUACAGAAGCAAAGGACAUCUAGGGCUUUAGUUUUAGUUUUUUUAGUUUAGUUCUAGUUUCCUUUCUUUGGACUGGCCUCUGACACACGCCAGGUGUUCGACAAUAUUCCCCAACGGGAAGAUUUUCUCAUGAGGCGUGGUUAAGCUUUUCUAGUCAAGGGGACAACUGACGAUUUGGUUCGACAAUUACUGUGAGAUCGAAUCUGUUUUAAUUAUUUUCUUCAUUUAUUGGUAUUUAUAUGUUCCUUGAUUUUAAUUGCUAUGGCCUUGUGUAUGAUUGAUUAGUGCGCAAUAAUUAAUUAUUCAUAUAGGCUAUUUUUGCUAAAUAGGGGUAAUUGAAUCCGUAAUUGUUCGUUAUCUCUACCUCAGUAGCAACUGGCGUAAAUGGGUUUAUGUCAGGGGAGCAUAUGAUCUAAUUUAAACAAACCCUCGUAGCGUGUUUGUUGGUUAGGAUUGGGCCUUUCUAAUUAUUAAUGCAAUCUAGAAAUUAAAUCCUACGGUCGUACCUAGGGUUGUUUUUGGGUUAGAGAAAUAGCUAACGGUCGUACCUUAGCUAUCGAGAAAUUAAGGAAGGGUUGGUUGUUUAUCGCGUGCAUGACAACUAUAACUAAUCUAUUGCUAAAUGUUGGAAUUAUUUCUGCAUCAAUGAUCAGUGCAUGAACCAUUUCUGAUGUGUACCCUUGGCUAGAGUUUCCCCAAUCAUUUCUUUUAAUUAAUUAUUUUCUGCAGUUAAUUUAUUUAGUUAGCAUUUAAUCCAAAACCCCCCAUACUUUGGACUCUAGAAGAAACGAAUUAUCCCCAAUCCCUGUGGAUUCGACCCUACUCACCGCUAUAUACAAAAUCUGUAUCUUUAUUGAGUAGGUAUUUAUUAUUGUACAGGUUCGGCACCUGUCAAUUUUGGGGUGAACACAUUUUGUCAUUAAUUGUUGAUUGUUGGGGGACGUUUUUGGUAACACUUGAGUCUAUUUUGCUGAGUUCUGUUGAUAGAGCAGUUAUUUGGCACAUUUUACAGUGUUAUUUUGUCCUAAUUUUGGCUAUUCAUGGUGUUAAGAAUUGGAAUAUCACUCAUAUUUGAUGUUUGUGUGAAUUGUAGGUGGUCGGCAUUAAAAAUGACCUCUCAAGGCAAAUUUCUAGAAGACUCUUCGUCUCAGAGCAUGGCCACGCCAGAGAAGGUCGAUGUUACCGAAAAGCCGGACCCCGGUCCACGUGAACCGCAAGGAGCACGGGAUUAAAGCUCUAAAAGGCUAGCUUUUGUUUCAAUCAAUUGGGUCAGACAUGACUUGGCUCCUAGAGGCUUCAAUUAAAAAAGAAAAGAAAGGGCCAGACGUCGAGGGAAUGAGAAUGAGGAAACUAGGUCUACAUGGACCAGCUACACGGGAUAAAAACUCCAAUGAAGAGAAGAGCUCUGCUCCGCGUGGAUUUCCCCUGCGGCACUAUAUAAGACAACAAAAAAGGUGAUGCAGCGGAGAAUAUAGAUUAGCUUUGAUUUUCUUUUCGAGAGGGGUCAGGCGAUUGCAGACUUUUGUAGCUUUUCGGUUGUGACACUUGGACUCCUUGGCUUUUGUUUUGACUCUGCACAAUUUACGUUAGUUUUUGUUCGUACACUUGCGGCACCAAAGCAAAGACGAAGGCAGUGCCUUCUCUGUUGUUACUGCAAUUAAUUCCCCUUCCCCAAUUUUCGGCGAAUAAUUGAAUGAAUUCAAUUAAAUCACGCGGGAUUGACACGAUAAGGAGCGGCUAAUUUUCUCCUCUACCCAAAGGUUGACGCGAAGGCGCGGUCCAUAAUAUCUGUGAGAUCUAAUCGAAUUUUCAUUAUUUCUUUCAAUUUAUUGCUAUUCGUACGUUUCCUGAAUUAAUUGUUCAUGAGUAUUUUACUAAUUGAAUAUCAACGGCCGGGUAUUUGAUUUAAUUUAAUAGUCUACUGCCACGUUAAUUAAAUAGAAUCCGUAAUUGUUCAUUUAGUUAACACCUCGUGGCAACCACCAUAAUUGGCUUUAUGAUGGGAAAACGCAAGAUCUAAUUUAAAUAAACCCUCUUAGCGUAUUUAUUGGUUAGGGUUGGAUUCUUCUAGCUUUAAUGCAAUUGGGUAAUUAAAUUCUCACGGUCGUACCUAGGGUUGUUAUCUGGUUAGAGAAGCAGUCAAUGGUUGUACCUUGACUAUCGAAAAAGUAAGGAAGAACUGGUUGUCAGAGCUUAUUGAUAACUAUAACCAACCUAGUGAUGAAUGGAUGAAAUACCUUUGCAUUGAUGAGCAUCUGUCUUGAGUCCAUUGAAGUGCCGUUGGUUGAGUAAUUUCUGCGUCUUUUUGUUGAAUUGGAAGGCUAUUGUGACACUUCCAUUGCACUUUCGGAAUGCAUUGUUUCUGUAUUUGACUAAAUUCAGGCCACCAGUGCUUCUUGAUUGCAAUCACUGUGCUGUUGGGGUAUUUGUACAGCUUUGAGUACCUGAAUUGUGUUUGUGUUGGUUGGAGUACCAUUUAUAGAGAAUGGUGAGACCUAAAUCCUCCUCUAGGUCUAGGACACCUAGAACUUCUCAGCCUCCUCCCACCCUAGGGGCUAACGAUUGGCUCCAACUCCGAAUGCAAGUUAAGAGACCGGAGAUUCGAGUGACCCACAUUGACAUCAACUUGCAUACCAUGGUGCAGAAUUUGGCAACAAUUAUGCACCAUGCGGGUCUUGUUCCUCAGUUUCCGUCUGACCCACCCCUGUUUUGACGACUUCAGGGAAGCACCGGUGCUCUUUUGCUUACUUUUGCUAUUAAAUUAUCACAUUGAGGGCAAUGUGUGAUUUAGGUAUGGGGGGGAUCAGUUGUGGUACUAGUAUUUCCAGUUUUUGAUUUUUAAGUGUUUUUCCUUUGUUUUUAGUUUGAUAUUUUUCUCUUUUUCGUUUAUUUCUUUUAUUCGUGAUCAGCUCUUAUUUGAAUACCAAGUUUUGAUGUUGGAUUGUUGCCUCUAAUUCUGCUCUUGCCAAGUUUUAAUAAUAAAAGGGUAUCAAGUUAAUAUGGUUGAAUUCAGGAACAUCUCUUUGGUGAAUAUCAAUAAUUGCUUAACUUUUCCAAGUUUUGGUUAACUUUUCUAGGCAUAGGGAAUGAUUGUUGGCAUUUUUCAUGUAAAUUGGUCCAAUUAUUAAUUUUAGUUCUCUAUGUUUGGAAAUUUGAGGCUGACUGCUGUUAUUUUUAGUUAUUGUGUUAUAUGAUUGUAAAUAAUAGAUAACUGUACUCCAUUAGUUGUUACUACUGAGUAACCGGGGAUUUUCACCUAAAGUGUCGAUUCUCAUGUCAAAAGGUAGCAGUUACUAUGAGUGCGUGGUCCCGUAGCGAUUGGAGCUAAGUAACCGGGCUCCUCCAUCUGUCAAAUGUUGGAGUUCGCAUCAAAACGCUCUAAGGGUUAUAAACUAAGUCUUUUGUUAUUCAAAAAAAAAAAAGAAAAAAAGAAGCAGAAGAAAACAAAAGAAGCAGAUUGUGUUAGUAUAUGAAAAAGUCAGCUUGCCGAUUUGUGAUCUUAAUAUCGAGAUUUUGGUUAAUAGUUGGACCGUUUGCUGAUAAAUAUGAGCAACCAUUCCUUUUUCUUAGAUUAGUUUGCUUUAAAUUGGAAGAGUUGGUGGUUGGGAAGCUAAUCGGGGUAAUUUUUCUUUGAUCUUGACCUGUGAUGCUUGAUAUAUGUUUUUCUGGAUAUCUUGGCAAUACGGUAGUUGGAGCAAUAGCCAUUGUCAAAUUUUGGUGUUCAAUUUCUGCUCUCAUGCUUGAGGGCAAGUAUGGUUUAGGUGUGGGGGGAAUUGAUAGGGUGUUAAUUGUUAAUAAUUUUAUUGCUAUUUUUCCCCUUUGUCCUUGCCAAAUAUUAUUUUAAUUGUUAACAUAUACUUAUUUUUGGUAUUUGGACCAAUCUACAGGAAGUGGAACUGACAAAUGCUAAAAAGGAGAUUUUAUUGAGAAAAAUCCUUCACAUGCUAGAGCCUCCAGCGGAUAUACAAGUUGGGCCCACAUGGUGUUACAAAUUCGGUUGCUGAUGGGGAGCUCUUAUUAUUGGGAGUUGACUUGUACGUGUAGGAGUCCUCCUACCAAGAGGAAACAAGAAAAAAGGAAUUCGGCAGAGGCCCAUCUUUUGUACUUAGCUUUCUCAAUUCGGUAGGGACCAUGGACUAGAGGUUUUCAUUAGUGAUUGGACUUUAAAAGGGAAGAAACGUAUAGAGGCUUGGGGAUUAUUAUGAUUAGCGUAGCUUUAGUUUUAGUGGUUAGCUAGCGUUUCCUUUUCAUGCGCACGAGGUGCUCGACAAUAUUUUUCAACGGGAAAAAAAAACAUCUUUUACUCUUGCUUUCUAGUGAAAAACUUGAUGCCUUUGCAAUCAAUUAAUUUGCGUGGAGAUUUAAUUAUGCGGCGUGGCUAAGCCUUUCAUCUAGUUAAGGAUCAACUCGAUGGUACAGUCCCAAAUAUCUGUGAGAUCUAAUUAGUUUUCACGCGUUUCUUAAUUUGUUAAUAUUUGCACGUUGCCUAUUUGAAUUUUCAAGGGAUUAUUUUGUUAAUUGGAUGUCAAGGGCCCGAUGUUCAAUAUGGCUUAUUAAUCUCCUUCCAAAUUAGUCAAUUAAAUCCGUAAUUGUUUGAUUGAUUAAUAUUAGUGGCAACUGGCGUGUUUAUACACUAGGGGAACGUGCAAUCUAAUUUAAAUAACGCUCGUAGCGUGUUAUUGAUCGGGGUUAGGUUUUUCUAGUUAUUAAUGCAAUUGAAAAAUUAAUUCCUACGAUCGUACCUAGGAGUAUUUUCUGAUUAGGAAUAAUCAAUGGUCGUACCUUGAUUAUCAAUAAAUAAAAGAAAAAUUGGUCGUUAGAAUUCGUCGGCGACUAUAACUAGCCUAUUAAUAAAUUAAGUGAACCUCCCUUGCAUCAAUGAUCGAGUAAGUGGACUGUGUCUGAGUAGUUGUAUCAUUGGCUAGAAUUUAUCUAUUCUUGAUUUAAUUCCUGCCUAUAUUCGUGCAAGUUAAUUAUUUAUUUUUAGUGAAUUUUUUAAUUAUUUUUAGUUUUACUCCGAUAAAAUCCUCCUUUAUCAAUUGGAAUCUCAAAGAGACAAAUAUCCCCAGUCCUUGAGGAGAUGACUCUACUUGCCACUGUCUACUAUUUAGUAAGUUUUGUCAACUAAUUAAUUCUGAUAUAUCGGAUUAAGCAAACUUUUCGAGAAUAGGGUGAAUCAAGUAACCCAUUACACACCUAGAGUCCCUGCUCCAGUAUUUAGGAUUAAUUAUUGACUGUUUUUAGUGGUAUUUAUAUUUUUAUUAUUAUUAUUGCAUAGGCUCGACACCUGUCAAUUUUUGUGAUGUUGACCCAAACAACAAAGGACGGGUUAUGUGAUGUUGACCCAAAUAACAAGUCUUCACUAGUGAAUGUGAUAUUUGUGAUAUCCACCUCUUUAUUACCAGUGGGCACGUGAGUUAUCUCACAAGGAGAUUCGCGAGUAUCAUCCUUUGUUCUUCAAUAUCAUCAACUUGCGUUGUGUGACAUGAGACCAUAUCAAUAUCAAAGAAUCUUUUAGAUAUGAAUUCUUUUAAAAUGAUAGAAACUCGCGACUUUUGCUUGAAUACUUGAUUUUCUUGAAGAUUGUGAUUAUUAUUAUUUUUCUCUAUAUUCUUCUCUUUUCUCUUCCAGACCAUUCUACUUCUUGUUAAGGCCUUGUUUACCUUAUUAGAUGGACGAGAGUUUCAUCUUCAUCUUCGCGUGAUCAGAGUUCAUCCAUCAUCAUCUACGUCUGAUUGUAAUGACUUCUCAUCUUCAUAUUCAUAUUUUUGAAGAGCUGAAGGGGCGAUUUUUUGUUCAACUUCUAUAGGAUCAAAUGAUCCAAAUUGAAUGGUUGGCAAUAUAGGUAUCGUAAACUUUUCGACUUCCAUGGACUGUAGUGAAUCAACGGAGGUUUGAUUCAUACUUGCUUUGUUUUUUUCAAGAAAAUUUUUUUCUUGUCUUGCCAAAUCCAUCAUCUCAUCUUUAAAGACAAAGUAUUUUUGAAUGGGAUGUCCAACCAAGCAAUGAUACUUGAUUUGGAUCAUCCGUAUUACUAAUCUCGUCAAGUCAGUUCAUCUUGGAAGCAUGAUCAAGUUCAUGCUUAACAAAUUAUCAAAUAUACUAGGAACAUCAGAAUCAAGGAAAUUGUACUUCUUGUUUUGCAUCUCCUUGAGUGUUGGUUUUUUCUUUCCUUCGUCUUGAUGCAUACUGGUUUUCUUGUCUUCUCUUUUAGCAGUUCUGAGAAUAAUCUUGAAAGGUGUUAUACUUGCAGCUAUGGCCUCUUUCUCACUUUGAUUGGGGGCUUGCCUCCUUUCCUCACUUCUUGUUUCUCCUUAGCCUUGCGAGAAUCAGGAAUUGGCGGCUCUUGUCCAUCAAGGUUAAUUUCUAUCUUAUGAGUUUUUGGGGAUAAUUCAUCAAAUAUUUCUGGUUAUACCCCUUACAAGAUAUAUCUGAAUCCCCAAUGCAAGUCUUGAAUACACAUCUCAAUAGCGGAAGACUCGAAAAUUCGAUCCUUACAGUUUAGGCUUAGAUUUUUUCGAGCGAUUGAUAAAGUUAAUAACAUGUUCAUUCUUUCACUAGCACAUAUUUUAGAGUUCAAUUAUGCUGACAGUCCUUUUCGUGCUAUAGAAGCAAUUAAGGAAUUCCUACUCUAAUUGCUCCCAACUGUCAAUGCUGCUAGAUUCUAAAUCUGUGUACCAAUCAAACGUGUUACCCUUCAAUGAGUGAACAAAUUGCUUAACUAGCAAGUCACCAUUAGUGCCAGCAUUGUUACAAUUUUCGACAAAGUGCGCAAUAUGUUGUUUAGGGUUACCUUUGUCAUCAAAUUAUUGAAACUUUGAAAAUUGAAAUCCUACAAGCAUCUUCAAACAUUUACUCUUGUGGUGUAAGGUUUGAUAUAAUUGCUAUAUGACUUGGUAUUUCCACCAAUCUUGUCCUUGAUCGUACCUUUGAUAAACUCCUUUAAAUUAUCAACAUGAAUGGUACUAUCAGGAGAGAUUGAAAACUCCUUCAUUAUUCGUGACUUGGUAUCCUCUUUCUCUUUCUUCCUUGAUGAUGAGUUACCUUCAUAUUUUUUACCAUGGCCAUUAGUUUGGCUAUUUUGGCAUCUUGACUUUGCACGUGCCCUGCUAGCCCUUCGACAAUUUGGCAAGAUUUGAAAUUUGAUCUCUACGGUUGUGGUGUUAGUCAUCAUGAUGGGCAUUACCACAGAAGUAGCUAAAUUGCUUGAGCUAUCAGCAGAUUCAUCAUGGACUCCCUUCUUGUUGGGAAAAAUCUCAAAAUUUUUUCUUUCAACCACAGCAUUCGCCUUAACCCUAUCUACUAAUUUCUUAGCCUUGCUCCUUGUCAUAGGUGUAGUAUACUGCAUCUCCUGAGUUGUUGGGAUGCCAGCAACUGAGCCUUCAAGAGCAAAACUCAUCUUCUUGGACUCCAUUGAUUCUUGAAACAAGUAAGCUAUUCAAAGAAAAGAGAUGAAAAACAGAGAUGGUCCCACCAGACGUGUCAUAAAAUUUGUGAGCAUAAAUUUUGUUGCCUAAAAUAAAGACAAGAAAAUUUGCAUAAAUAUCAAAUUUAUUAAAUCAAAUAAUAAAUGGGUUAUAAUUUUUGAAAAUUCUUGAAUUAAAGAUAUUAAUCUUCUAAUUCUUCUCUUCAAAAACUUCAAUUGAAGGGUUGAAAAGACUUGUUUACCGAUCAAGAGGGUGUUUCCUACGAUUUUGACAUAGAAAACCGCUGAUUUGAUGAUGACGUUAAAUAGUUGAUGUUGGGUUUGGAUUUUAUUCCACCAAUCGUUCAUUUUGUUGGAUUUGAGUUUUAUACCACCAACUGUGGGAUAAAACCCAAUCCCAAUAAAAUGAACGGUUGGUGGGAUAAUACUCAAAUCCAAUAAAAUGAAUGAUUGGUGGGAUAAAAUCCAAACCCAACACUUGUAUCUUUAAAUCUUCAAUGUCGAUAGAAGGAGGAUUUAUUUUAACUUGAUUUGGAUUUGAAUUUAAGGGAAAAUGCUCUCGAGAGAAUUUGACAGAAUUUCUUCAAAAUUUAGAAAUUUCAAUGUGUUUUUGUACUAAGAGAAUACCUUUAUUUAUAGGCAAAAUAUGUAGAUUAUGUCUUCAAGAAAAUUCUCCAGAACCUUCUUGCGUUUGGGUAACUUGUACCUCAAGAAACUCAUUUAACUUAGGUUUAAAUAGUGGGCCUAUUCAAAUAAUCCAUUGUGAAUUAAUACAUCAAUUAAUCCACUUUAAUUUAAAUGGGUAACACAUUGAUUUGAUUUGAUUUAAUAGCCCAUAUAUCAUUGGUCUAUUUUGUCAAUCAAAACAUAAUAGACUGCUAUAAUUUAAUUUAAUGUAAUCAAGAUCAAUUUAAUUUAUUUAAUCUUGACUAAAUAAAUUUUCUUUGUCUACAGCAUGUACGUGUAAUUUUCCAAAUAAUGAUACUUUUCAAAGAGAGUUUUCAAAUAAUGAAAGUUCUAAAACAAGGCAUUCACCGAAUGCGUGAAUGUAUCUUUUUAAACAACGCAUUUAGUCAAUACGUUUUUAAGGAAAAAUGCCUAUACAAAUAAAAGAAUGAAUUCUAUAAAUGUGUCUUUUGAGGAAACAACACAUUUACUAAGUACGUUUUUUCACUCUUUGGGAAGAAGUUCAAAAAACACCACCAUUUGAAAGGUAAUUUUAGAAAAUCCCACUUUUUGAGAAUUUACUCAAGCUUGUACUUGACAAAAUGUGUUGGGAAAAUUGUGACGUCAGGUGAAUUGUAAAACUGUUGUGCCAUCGUAAUGUAUGUUUUGCACUAGAUUGAGUAAGAAUUAUAUCAAAAUAGUCGGCCACAAUAUAGGAAUGUGAAAACUUUGUGUUAAGUAAGUUGUAAUAUUUUUGUAUCAUCUAACGUAUAUUUGAAAACGAUUGAGAAUAUAAUAUAUGGAAACAACAGGUCACAAUGUUGAAAUGUCAAACCUCUUGUUUCAAACCAAAUACUUAUUAAACUCCUUCAUAUCGCUAACGAAUUUUGAUUCUGAAGUAAUAAUAGUUUUAUUUAAUUAUUUGCCUUUUUUGGAACAAUAUUAAAAUGUAGCCAUAAAUUUAAAUUCCAAAAUUGUUGAAUACUUGAGGAAUUCUAGAAAUGGCACUGAGAGUCAAAGUUCACCUUAUUCAAAAGUCACCAGCCAUCUCAGAGUGCAUGUUUCUAUUGAGUUUCAGGUUCAAUGUGUACCCACUUCCACUUUUGGCUGAUCAAUCAGGACUAAGGUUCCGUUUGAUAAAACUGAAUCUGAAUUCUGAAAUCUGAAUACUGAAACAAUUAAUUUGCUGAAUUUUAAGUUCUGAAAAGAAAUAUAUGAAUGUCUGAAUUUUAAUGUUAAAUCUAUUUCUACUGUUUGAUAAACAUUUAUAACUGAAUGCUUAAUAAGUUAAAUUUGACAAAUUUGCCCUUAAUCUUUUCAUCCAAAAAAGAAGUAGAACCUAUGAUUUAAUUAGGUAAAAAUGUUAGGUAUGAAAAUGACAAUAUUUAUUUUUAAAUCAAAUUAAUAUAAAAGAUGAAAUAUAUUAUAUGCGGAGUGGAGAAGAUGUAAAAAUCAUUCAAAAUGGAGAAAAAAGAAAUAGAAAAUCAUUAGAUAGAGAAUAUUAGAUUGUUUAAUUAGAUAAGAAUUUUGAACAUAAUUAACAAACAAUGGUAGAUUUGAUAGAUAAGAUAAGGUAAUUGAAGUAAUUCUAUUGAUUCUUAUCAGAAUUAAGUAUUCAGUUAGGAUUUUUGUGCUGAAAAAAAUACACACAAUUUCAGCACUACUUAACAAGUUCAGCAAAUAGAUUUUCAUUUAUCAAACAUUCAAAACAUCUAAAUGUCUAAAAAAAUUUAGAUUCAACACUUUUUUAUAUUAUUAAACAGACCCUAAGAGAAUAAAAUAACUUGCUUGCUGUUAGCGAUGGCAACGGGGCGGGGUUGGGGCGGGGGACCCCUCCCCCGUCCCCCGCCCCGUUGCCUAUUAGUUCCCCCUGUCCCCCGCCCCCCCCCCCGCUUCCCCCGCGGGGUUAAUAAAAUUUUAUUAUAAUUAAAUUUUAAUAAAUAAUCAAUUACUAAAAUAUCAACACAUCACCAAAUUAUUAUUCAUUGUAAUUUUACAAUUAAAACUCAUAAAAACAAUCAAACAAAAGUUAUUUGAAUACAAUCCAAUAUGAUGAAAUAAAUAUAACUAAAAUAGUUAAGUUUUCGCUUUUAGUACAAAUGCAAUCACUAAUUCAUUAUUGUGUUUGUGCUUUUCUUUUGAGAAAAAAGUGUUAUUCUAUUAAGUGUAAUUAGAAAUUUAGUAUAAAUGUAUUAGUAAAUUUAGUAUAACUAAUUAAUAAAUUUUAUUAGUAGACAUGUAUAAUUAUUCAUAUAAUUGAUAAUAUCAAUUAUAUUACAUAAACUACUAUACAUUAUAUAAUACAUCUAACUAAUAAUAUCAUUAUCAUAAGUUUAUAACUAAUUAACUUACAUAUUAUAUAUAAUUAUAUAUAUAUUUUUUUUAGGGUGGCGCGGCGGGGGAUGGGGCGGGGGUAUACUCCCCCGUCCCCCGCCCCGUUUCUAAGCGGGGGGAAAAAUUCCCCCCCCCGCCCCAACCCCCGCCCCGAGAGCCCCCCGUGGGCACCCGCCCCCAUUGCCAUCCCUACUUGCCGUUUUUAAAAAAGGAUUCAUUAUUUUUUCUUUGAGCAUUGGUAUCUCCACCCUCAAUGACACUAAUCUGGAUUCAAUAUGAGGAGUGUCCGUAGAGGCUGACUCUUACUCGAGAGUAAAGACUUGACCCAGAGCUUUUCAAGGCGUCAUCAUAUGUAGGAGUCAAACUUAUGAACUCUGUGCAUAGAUAAUUUAGCUCCAGUCUGUGGAAUGUCUUGAUGUUAGGUGAGUUGUAAUAUUUUGGUAUCAUCUAAUGAAAUUUUUAAAAGAUUGAGAAAUAAUAUAGAGCAAAACACCAAUUUAUUCCCUAAAUUAUUUUGCUAAAAUCAAAAUACUCCGUAAAUUUAUUUUGAGUCAGUUUAGUCCCCCAACUAUUUUUACAAAGCUGAAAUAGUCCUUAAACUUUAUUAUGAGCCAAUUUAGUCUCUCAACUAUUUUGUUUAAGUGAAAUAGUACCCCACCUUUAUUUAUUUGGCCAGUUUGGUCCUUGUUUGACUCAUCCACCCAAUUUAUCAACCUUGUGCACUAACAAUCAGGGGCAAAAUAAGAAAUUUAGUCAAUGCCCUUACUAAAAUGAUAGAAGAAUUAGAUAUCUGGCAAAAUUAAAAACAAAAUUGAAUCAUAUAGAGAACAAAAAAAUAUAGUGUUUCUUAUGGAGGAAAAAAAUGGAGCUGAUGCCUAAAAUCUCACAUGGAUCCAACUCAGUCCAUUGAAUGGAGAAAAGGGAAAAUAACACAACAAGAAUAUGUUAAAAGUUGGAAAAUGUGCUAUAAUUAUGAUUACUCCUUUAAGAAAUAAAGCUGAAAGAAGCUCAAUUUCUUUUUGUUUUCCAUAUUAUUCAAUUUCGUUGUCGAUUUUUCGAUAGAUGUAUGUUUUUUUUUUUGUUUUAAUAAGGGCUAUGAUUGGAUUUCCUAUUAUGCCAUUGGCUGUCGAUGCUACACUUGAUAAAUUAGAUGGAUCAUCCAAAUAAAGACAAAAUUGGCUAUGUAAACAUUAGUGAGGGACUAUUUCAGCUUAAGAAAAAUAGUUGAGGGACUAAAUUGGCUUAUAAUAAAAUUAGGGACUAUUUCAGCUUUGUAAAAAUAGUUGAGAGACUAAAUUGACUCAUAAAAUGUUUAGGGACUAUUUUGACAUUAAGGAAAUAGUUUUGGGACUAUAAACAUUAGGUCACAAUGUUGAAAUAUCAAAACCCAUGUUUUGGACCAAAACUCAUAGAACUUCUUCACGUCGCUAACGAAAUUUGAUUAUGAAGUAAUGCUAAUUUUAUUUAUUAUUUGUUUCCUUGCUGGUCUUCUGUCUUUUUGGUUAUUCCAAAAUUGUUGAAUAUUUAAACGAAUUCUAGAAAGGGCACUGAGAGUCAAAGUCUUAUUCAAACAGCCAGCUAUCUCAAAGUACAUAUUUUUUUAUUAUCAGGUUCAAUAUGUAUCUAUUGCAAUUUUUGAAUGACCAGCCAUGACUAAGAGAAUAAAAUAAUUCACUUGCUGUUUUUAGAUAUGAAUUCAUGACUGUCAGUAGUCUAUAAAUACACUUAUUGCUCACCACUCUUUGCACCGCAAAAUCUCUUCAAGAUCCAACAAACCCUCCUGUUCUUGGUCUUUGUCCAUUUGUGAAAAAACAAAUUAAAGCGUCAUGGCCCCUAUCACUUGUAGUGCUGAGAUGACCUCCCCAAUCCCUCCUGCAAGGUUGUUCAAGGCCGCCAUCCUUGAUGACCACCCUUAAUGCCACAGGCUAUUAAGAGUGUGGAAAUCCUUGAAGGAGAUGGUGGCGUUUGAACCAUUGAGUUGAGCACAUUUGGUGAAGGUUAGAUGUUAUAUUAAAUGUAGAACCCCAAAUUUAAGGAUCUAAUAAUAAUCAAUGCGUGCAGGGUUACAGAAUUGGAGGGAUAAAACAAAUACUCAAAAUAUACGUGGAAGAAAAGAAAAAUAAUAAAUUCAACUCACAAUAUUAUUGAAAUUUCAAACAAUGAAGAAAAUCAUACCACAAUGAAUUCAACUGGUUCUAAUAAUAAUCAAAGCAUACAAGGUUACAGAAUUAAAAGGAUAAAACAAACACUCAAAAUAUAUGUGGGAGAGAAGAAAAUAAUAAAUUCAACACACAAUAUUAUUGAAAUCUCAAACAAUGAAAAAAGUCACACCAUAAUAGAAAACCUUGCUAAUGCUUCUAGAUUCUUUCUCUUGAGAAACCAACCUAAAUAAUGUUCUAUUUAUAAUCUACCAAACUUGUUAGGAAAGAAACCACUUGCAUAAGAAAUUACCAAAUAAUACAGAAAUUCCUAAAUCACACAACUACUAAAAACAUAACUCAAAUAAAACUAAAAAAUAAAUAAAUAUUACUAGGCUUAGUUUAAUUUGUCAACAUUGCCUCCUUUAAACCAUACUAUCCAUUGAGAUAGGUUCAACACCAUCUCGAGCAAUAAUUUCUAUGCAAAUCUAUGUUGUAGUACACUUGACAUGAAACUCUAACUUGUUACCAGUUAUUAAUUUCAUUUUUACACGUAACAGUGGACACACUAUGUAUUGUGUAAACAACUUCUCAGCAAUUUCUUCUUGAUCAAAGAACUCACUUAUACAAACCCAUUCAUCACCAGAAUCACCAUAUUUACCACCAAUGUAAGUGCCUAAAAAUACAAAAUCAUAGAUUUCUUUCUCGCUAAAAUUAUCAUCACCAAAUAAUUCAAAAUAACCACUACUACAAUCAUCCAAAAUUUUCAUACUGUCAGUCAACUCUUUUGGAGUAAAAUAUUUUUCAACUCCGAUGACAUCCAUAUCUAUUAAAUCAAACAUUCUCCCAUCACUUUGAAGAGAGUCCGAACCAACGAAUUUUUCAACAACAAUUUCAUGUUCUCUUCUCUUAUCAAAUCAAAAUUUUUUUCUUCUUUUGUCAAAUUACCAUAUUAUUUUUUUCAACAAAUUCAUUACUUCUAAUUUCUCCAAACAAGGUACGCAAAUCAAAACUAUCAAUUGAUUCAAAAUUUUCGAUAUCACCCAUAUUAUCAACAAAUCUAUCAUUUUUAAAAUCCACAAACCAAUACCAAUAAAUAGACUUCGGUUUGAAAGCAUAAUUUCUCCCAAUCGUGUGCAAAACAUAGUAAAUAUCCUUCCAAAAUCUCUAAAGUAUUUUAAUUAGUACGACCAAUAAAGGUUUUAUAAACACUUUUUGCCAUUAUUUUACGCAUCACUUGAAAGAAUAAUUGUGCCUUUUUCUUAAAAACAUGUUUUGACAACUUACUUGCAUCAACCCAACAAAGAAUAUCAUCCAAAUUACAUUGUUUAACAUAUUUUUCCACUAUUAAAAUCCAACCAAAAUAUGUAUGUCCAUUUGUGCUUAUAGGAGUCAAUAUGAAAAAUUUUUCACCGUGAAUCAGAUCUUUAUAAUAUUCCAUUAUUUAACAAUUUGUAUACCUGGAUAAAUUUUUUUCCUCCAUCCUGUCAUGUUUUCUUGGCCUCCCUGGUUGACUAACCAAAUUAUUGUUGUAUGUAUACCCAUGCUCGUCAAACCUCAUUUGUGUACACUCGUAAGGAGUGGUUCUGAGCUUCUUGUGAAUGCUCAGUACCAAGAAGUAGAAGAGAGAAUGCAUAAGAGAGAAUUAACUUGGCUAUAGAAAUAGGAAACAAUUGAGGGAUUUUUUAAGAAAUUAAUUCUCCAGCUACCACUUUUGGAAAUUUUCUAUCAACAACUAGUUACCAAAACACUAGCACAUAAUAAGAAAUCAGGAUAAUUUCAGAAACCUCCCUUGAGGCUUUUAAUAACCUCAAGAAGCUCCCCUCAAUAUUUUAAAAUUACACGUACCUUCCCUAUUGGUGCAAAAGUACUCUACUACCCCUAAUAGGAUACUCAAAAGACUUUUUUUUAUGGGAAAAAUGAAGCUCAGAAAUCCAAGCAAAAUCAAAAAAAUCAAUUGAUUUUCUCUUUUAGCCUUUUACACUUUUGCCUUCUACCUUUGCUCACUUUCCCAUCCCAAUCUUCCUACACCCGCUUUCCCAAUCCCCUUUCCCCAACUUUUCUCCUCUACUUCAAGACCAAUUUUUGUCUAUCUAUCCUGGCUUGUGCUUUGUUCCAUUCCCUUCCCUUCUCCUUCUUUGAUUUCGCCUACAUCUCCCUUUCUCUUUGCAAAAGUGACUAGGCUCAUGUCUCUCUUUUUCCCCCCUAUUCUAAGUGUAGUGGGUUUGAUUAUUUUGCAUCUAUUUUAUUUGAUUUGGGUUGAUUAUGGGUGAUAGAACUUGGCGAUGUCAAAUAUCAAAAGUUUGAUAGAUGGAUAUUGGGCUUUAGACAAUGAUUUGCUGAAAAAAAUGGCUGCAAUGAGACAAAGAGGCAAGGGGAUUUGAGUGUGGGGUUGAUUGUUGAUAAAUUGUUGUUUUGGACAAAAUUUGAGGUUGAGUUUUAUUAAAUUUGAUAGCAAGUGGCGAGUUUUGUUCAGGUUGCGGGAAAUAAAUUAGAUUGUGGUUUCUUGGGCACCCACAGUUGUUGGAAUUGGUUUUGAUUCAAAUUAGGGUGGUUACUUGAUUUUCCUAAUAGUGUUGCUUAAAAGCACACGAUCAUCAAAAUUCCUUAUUUUUAUCUUUUGUUUUUUCUUGUAGAAAAGAUUUCACGACUUUCGUGAUAGUCUAAUUUGGAAGAAGGCAAUCAAGGGAUGCAAUCAACAUUUAGCAAAAGCUCUUGUUCUUUCCUUUGUAAUUUUUAGGGUAAAAAGGGUAGUUUAGGGUAUUUGAAGGAAAUGAUAGUCUAUUGGGUCUAUUUUCAAGCAUAAAUAGUGAACGUAAGGGAGGUUGGUGUAAUUUCUGAAACCUAAGGGAAAUUGUCUGAAAUUGUUCGAGACCUCAGAGGAGGUUUUCGAAAUUAUCCCUAAGAAAUCAAAUGCGAAACUUGAUUAGUACACGCACACACGACACCGCACCACGCCGCGCGUGUGUUGAGGAUUGGUGUCCGUAACCAACGACAAGCAGGUUUUCAAUUUUUUUUUCCUUUCCUGGAUUCUCCAGAGAUGGUGUCAGCUUCUAUUAUUGAUGAGCAGGAGGAAAUCCACAAUAUACAGUACACAUCACCCAUAUUCUUUUUAAUUGAACAAUGUAUGAAAUUAUGGUGAUUCGAAAUUAAAUUAUAUGUUUAUUGGGCACUGAAUCCAAAAUAAGAGUUGGAAAUGUAUUGUGACAACAAUUGUUAACAUAGGCCACAAAUGAUCAAAACAAAUAUUUAAGGUUUAAUAUGACAUUAUGGGUUCAGAAUAUAGUUACUUGUUAUGAAACAACUAAAAGUAUGGAUAUCCAUUUGUAUUUUCAAGAGGAUCAAUUCAUAAUUCAUUGCUCCCAAGAGGAUUAAUUCAUAAUACAUUGCUACAUUAUGUAAAGGAAUUGCAUUGGAUGAACGGUUUCAAUCCAUAAAAGCUAUUUAUGUAUUGGAUGAACCGUUUCAUAUGGCUAUUCAUGUUCUUGUAGUAAUGAGUGUUUAAUAGAAUUGAUGUACCUUUAAUUUUGUAGUACCUAUAUAUACAGGUACUUUGGCACCUCUUGGGUAUACUUUUUGAUUAGUUGGAAUAAUAAGAAAAUUAUUCUUCAUUUCUGUACUUCUUUCUCUAAUAUUUCAAUUCCUAUUAUAGUAGUUCAUUUUUUUUAGUUUUACAACACGUUAUUAGCAUGAGUCUCUACUUUUGAACAAAAAGGUGAAAACGGAGCCUCUACCUUAAAAAAAAGUGAAACACGAGAUUCUGCCAAAAUUUUGCCCGUAUUUUUCCGGCAACUUCUGUCCACUUAUUGAGAAAUGGAUGCCAAAUAUUUGGGAUUAAAUAAUGGUGAUGAUGAUAUUUGUCUCAUUGAUAGUGCUACUACGCACACUAUAUUGAAAAAUAAAAAAAAAAUUUCUUGUAUGAAAAUGGGAGAGACAAAUGUUAAUACCAUAACUGGUAGUGCAAAAUUGAUUGAACGCUCCGGAAUAGCCUCUCUAUUUCUUCAUGAAGGGACUAAAAUUGUCGUAAAUAAUGCACUACUGUCUCCCAAGUCUCGGAGAAAUUUAUUGAGUUUUAAAGAUAUCUGCGAAAAUGAAUACUAUAUAGGGAUAAUGACUGAGACAAAUGGAGAAUUUUUAUUAAUCACAAGUAUCAUUUCUGGGCAGAAAUGCGUAGUAGAAAAAUUACCUUCUUUUUCUUCUAGCUUAUAUUAUGCACAAAUUAGUGCAAUUGAAAUUUAUCACCUAGUAGACCAGAAGUCUACUCAUCCCAAUAAUUUUAUGAUUUGGCAUGAUCGUCUCGAAAAUACUGAAUCUAUAAUGAUGAGACGAAUAAUCAAGAAUUUACAUGGUCACUCAUUGAAAAAUUAAAAGAUAUUAAAAGCAAAUGAAUUCUCCUGUGUUGCUUGUUCCCACGGAAAAUUAAUUAUUAGACCAUCACCAGUUAAAGUUGGGACUGAAUUCCCUACAUUUCUAGAACGAAUUCAUAGUGAUAUAUGUGGACUCGUAGAUCCACCAUGUGGACCAUUUCGAUAUUUUAUGGUGCUAAUUGAUGCAUCAACUAGAUGGUCACAUGUAUUUUUAUUAUCUACUCGCAACUUGAUAUUUGCGAGAUUGCUUGCUCAAAUAAUUAAAUUGCGAGCACAAUUUUCAGACUAUCUAAUAAAGAAAAUUCAUUUAGAUAAUGCUGGUAAAUAUUCGUCACAUGCUUUUGACAAUUAUUGCAUAUCUAUUGGAAUAACUAUUGAACAUCUUGUAACUUAUGUUCACACACAAAAUGGUCUAGCCGAAUCAUUUAUUAAAUGGUUACAAUUAAUUGCUAGACCAUUGUUGAUGAGGUCUAAACUUCCUUCAUCUGCUUGGGAAUAUGCUAUAUUAUAUACAGCAAUACUUGUGAGAAUUAGACCGACAAGUUAUCAUACUUAUUUUCCUCUAUAAUUAACUUUUGGUUAUAAGUCAAAUAUUUCUCAUUUACGAAUAUUUGGUUGUUCGGUUUAUGUUCGAAUUGCACGGCCCCAAUGUCGUAAAUUGGGUCCACAAAGAAGAUUGGGGAUAUAUGUCGGAUAUAAAAUCACCUUUAAUUAUUAAGUAUAUGGAACCAUUGACAGGUGAUUUAUUUACUGCAAGAUUUGCAGAUUGUCAUUCUAAUGAAUCACAUUUUUCGACAUUAGGGGGAGAUAAAAAUCAAUCGAAAAAGAAAAUCACUUGAAAAAUAUCAUUCAAUUUUCUCGAUUCUCGUACCAAAGAAUGUAAACUAGAAGUUCAAAGGAUUAUACAUUUGCAAAAAAUUACAAAUCAACUACUGGACGUAUUUAAUGACUCCAGAAGAGUUAUUAAAUCACAUAUUUUUAUUGAAAAUACUCCGAUUAAAAUUAAUGUCCUUGAAGGACAAAUUACAAGUGUUAAUGAGUGUAAAGUGCGCCUGAAGCGUGGGAGACCUCUUGGUUCUAAAGAUAAAAAUUCUCGAAAGAAAAGAGAAAUUGAUGAAUCAACAAUUAGUGACAAAAUUCAACCUCCUGAAGAAGUCGCUCCUAAAGAGCCAAUUCUUGAAGAUAAUGAAAUUAUAGAAAAUUCAAUAAAUUUUGUCGCUUCAGGAAAAAGUUGGAACAAAAAAAAAUUAUUAAUAGUAUUUUUGCAUAUAAUGUAGCACUUGUUAUUAUGGUAGGUAAUGAAGAUCGUGAGCAUAGAUCGGUUGAUGAAUGUCGACGUAGAAAUGAUUGGCCAAAAUGGAAAGAUGCGAUUCAAUCUGAAUUGGACUUACUAGCUACAAGAAAAGUUUUUGGGCCUGUAGUCCAAACACCUGAAGGUGUAAAGUCAGUAGGAUAUAAAUGGGCAUUUGUGAGAAAAAGAAAUGAGAAAAAUGAAAUCGUGAGGUAUAAAGCAAGACUUGCAACCCAAGGAUUUUCACAAAGGCCUGGAUUUGAUUAUGAUUACACGUAUUCACCUGUAGUGGAUGCUAUCACAUUUAGAUAUCUUGUGAGUUUUGCAGGACAUGAAAAAUCAGAUAUGCAUCUAAUGGACGUCGUUACUGUAUAUUUAUAUGAAAAUUUUGAAAAUGAUAUUUAAACGAGAAUCCCUGAAGGAUUCAACAUGCCUGAAGCAUGCAAAUCAAAUUUUAAAGAUAUUUAUACUAUUAAAUUACAAAGGUAUUUGUAUGGGUUCAAACAAUCUGGACGUAUGUGGUACCGCCUCAAUGAAUGUUUAACUAAAGAAGGCUAUACCAAUAAUCUAAUACAUCCAUGUGUCUUUAUCAAGAAAAAUGGACUAAUUUUAUGAUAAUUGUUGUCUAUGUUGAUAAUCUUAAUCUGAUUGGAACUCUUGAAGAGAUUCAAAAUAGUGUUGAAUAUUUGAAGAAGAAGUUUGAAAUCAAAGAUUUUGGAAAAACAAAAUUCUACAUUGAUUUACAAAUUGAGUGAUAGGUUGCAAUUUUAUCAUUUAUUUUAUUAUUAAUUUUCCCUAUUACUUAACCCAAUGUGAAUUAAUUAUUAGAUUCUACUCACUUUUAGUAUUUUACAUAUAUUUCAGGGAGUAGAACGAAAAUACCAUAAUAAGUGCCGAUUUGACAGUUAUCAGGAAAGAGUUCAAGUAGCAGGCAUCCAGGGCAUUUUUGGAACAAGGAGAUACAAGUCCUUUUUGGUAAUUCGCAGAGCGCAGCAUUAAAAGGAGGAACGAAGGGCUGAAGUAGGGAGUCUUCUUCCCCCUGGGAGGAACCGCCGCACAGCAGAGGGCUGUCUGGUCCUCUUAGUUUUUCCGUUUCUUUAGUUUUAGCUUCGGAUUUUGACUUUUCUUCUCGUAGGAAUUUUGGGUAGCCUUGAGCUUAGCAACUUUUGUUGACCCUUUUUUGGCCUUUUAGCUAGUUUGUUCUUACGCAUGGAAGAUGGCUGAAUAGCUGAGGCUUGUUCUUUGUUUUUCUUUGACUUUUCCUUUUGGUUUGCUUCCUGCGGACGCCCAGACCGAAGGAAAACUAUGAAGUCCCUUUUGUAGCUUUCUCUCUUUAUUAAAUAGACGAAUUGAAUUCCCUCAACUUGCGAAUUGAUGGCCGCAGCUUUUGCUUCAAUUUCUUGUGGGUUUAGUUCAUUAAUUAUGAACUAAUUCUACAAUUCUAGUCAAGGGGACAACUGACGAUUUGGUUCGACAAUUACUGUGAGAUCGAAUCUGUUUUAAUUAUUUUCUUCAUUUAUUGGUAUUUAUAUGUUCCUUGAUUUUAAUUGCUAUGGCCUUGUGUAUGAUUGAUUAGUGCGCAAUAAUUAAUUAUUCAUAUAGGCUAUUUUGCUAAAUAGAGGUAAUUGAAUCCGUAAUUGUUCGUUAUCUCUAUCUUAGUAGCAACUGGCGUAAUUGGGUUUAUGUCAGGGGAGCAUAUGAUCUAGCUUAAACAAACCCUCGUAGCGUGUUUGUUGGUUAGGAUUGGGCCUUUCUAAUUAUUAAUGCAAUCUAGAAAUUAAAUCUUACGGUCGUACCUAGGGUUGUUUUUGGGUUAGAGAAAUAGCUAACGGUCGUACCUUAGCUAUCGAUAAAUUAAGGAAGGGUUGGUUGUUUAUCGCGUGCAUGACAACUAUAACCAAUCUAUUAAUAAAUGUUGGGAUUAUUUUUGCAUCAAUGAUCAGUGCAUGAACCAUUUCUGAAGUAUACCCUUGGCUAGAGUUUCUCUUAGUUAUUUCUUUUAAUUAAUUAUUUUCUGCAGUUAAUUUAUUUAGUUAGCAUUUAAUCCAAAACCCCCCAUACUUUGGACUCUAAAAGAAACAAUUACUCCCAGUCCCUGUGGAUUCGACCCUGCUCACCGCUAUCUACAGAAAUCACUUUUAGUUUGAGCAGGUAUUUAUUAUUGCACAGGCUUCGACGACCUGUCAAUCUUUGGCGCCGUUGCCGGGGACUGGUGCCAGAUUAAAUUGUUUCUUUUUGAGUUUAUCUUGUUUUCAUUUUUUUAAUUUAUUUUUCUCUUAUUUUUUAUUAUUAUUAUUAUUUUUUUUAUGGCUGCUAACAUUCCAUAUUUUGAUGAUAGACUGGAUUUUGUUCCUGAAUGGGGUUAUGAGACUCAUGUUUUUCCUAACGAUCAAUGGGCUGUUGCAAAUUGUGGAACUUAUUUUGACUCAAGUUAUUCAACUGACACAUGCCCCGUAUUUCAAGAUAAUUUAAGUUCUCCACUUGAUACUUUUGGAGAUUUUUCACCCCAAUAUCAAACGUGGUAUGACCCUUAUUCAAACGGGUAUGAUCAAGGAUGGUGGGAUAAUUCCAAUUUUGAUUAUGCGACCGGGCCAAUGGAUUUUCAACAGCAAGAGUCUCAGCAAUCAUCCUCCGUGUCAGGUAUGUCUCUUGAAGAAAUGAUAGGUUUACUAAUUGCUAAUUCAAAUCGAUUUCAUCAGGAGACACAAGCGAGCCUAAAUCGAUUUCAUCAGAGGACACAAGCGAGCUGUCGCGACCUGGCGGAUCAACUGCGUCAAUUGACAGCCAGGAUGCAGCGAUUAGAGGCUCACCUUGAAGAAUUGCCCUCGCAAACCAAUAUCAAUCUUGAGGAAGAUGAGAGUGCAAUUGUCCGGGCAAAUGACAUGGAACUGCAAGAGUUUCAAGAAAACGGAUUUAAAGAUGCAGUUGAAAAGGAAGCUGAAGUGCAAGAAAUGAGACUCCAAGAUCAACUCGUUCAAGUGAAUGAAUCCAGUGAACAAUCUCCAAAUGCGGUGACAUCUUCUCCACUCCUUAAUCAAUAUUUUCCUGGCUCCUAUUCUUCAACUCCUGUUACUGAAAUUGAUUUUAUUAUACCAGAAAAUUUAAAAUUUCAUGACAGGAAUAAGUUAAGAGUGGAGAUGGCAAAAUAUCUUGAACCAAUGAAUGCGUGUGAUGGAGGAGUGAGUGGAGAAUGCAGAUCAUUGUUGACUUGUUUAGCGCCAUUUACUAGUCCAUGGAAGCCCGUAACUCGUGUGCCCAAGAAUUACUCCAUCUAUGAGGGUUACCAGGAUCACGUUGAAGAUGAAGCAUUGAAGCGAGCCACAAGAUUUUAUCCUCCAUGAGCAAAACAUGAUAAUGUCUAGCCAAAGACAUUAAAGAAAGGCGCUCAUUGGGAGGCAACCCAAUUUCUUUUAGUUGUUUGUUUGAUUUUAUUUGUUAGUUUAAAUCUGUCUUCCUUGAAUUUGACUGAUUUUGGGUGUUAAUUUUCGUUUUUACUGAUUUGUAGGUGACCUUCAGUCAUGACGCGCCCGCGUGGUGACGUGCAGGAAGCUCACGAUCAGAAACUUCUGGGAGCUCUCUUACCCUCAUGACGUGCCCGCGUCAAGUCACCUGGAGAGUUCCAGAUUCCGUGCCUUCAUGGUGUGCCCACGUCACGUUCACGGGAGAGAUAAGUAUUUAAAAAAAAAAUUCAAAAACGAUUGUUGAUUGUUGGUUAUCUCUGCUUUUGAAUCUCGAAAAUAAAAUUUGCUAAUGAAAAUAAAUUUCAAAAAAAUAAAAAAAAAUUUUUUAAAAAAAAAAAUUUAAAUUUUUGUUUCACGGUAGCUUAGAUUUUCAAAUCCUAAAAAAAAAAAAAAACACAGAAACUCUUUCUUAUCAACGUAGCUUUAGUGUCAAAUAUUUUAAAAAAAAAAAAGUCUCAAAUGAAAAAAAAAAAGGGCUUUUCUUUUUCUUUCUUUUCUUUCUUUCUUCUUCUUUCUCUUUUCUGUCUUCCUUCUCCCCUGUUUCUUCUUCCUCUCUGUUGACCGAAGCCCUCUGUCCGCCGCCGCUGCUGAAGCGCCCUCAGCCGUCGCGCAGCAGCUCCUCACUCGAAGACGCCGCGGCCACAGCACCUCUGCACGCGGCCUCCACCUCUCCAUCGCGCGCCGUCAAGAGCUCCGCCGACCCACGACGCGCGAGGCACCAGCUCGCGCGCCUCCCCCACCUAGCAACUGCUGGCCGACCAGCCCCACCACCAGCCCGCGCCGCACCUGCUGGCCGACCUAUCAACUCCUAAGCUCGCGAACCUCCUCAGCUCAGCUCCACCAGCGAGCUGCUCCUCGCUCACUCCAUCGCGUGAAGACCAGGCGAGCACGGCCCGCAGCCUCUCACCGCCACUGCGCACCUCUGACCAGCUCGCAGCACCUCUCUCUGCCCUCCGUGCGCUGCCCGCGCGUGGCACCAGCGCCUCCACAGCUCGUCGACGAAGCCCAAGCUGACAGACCACGCCGCUCGUCCACUUCCACCACUCGCGACGCACAGAUCAGCGCUGCCGUUGGUUGCCCAACCUCCCUGGUGCCAGGUUUUUCUUACUAAUUUUGUGGUCUACGAUUCCAAUUUCUUGAUGAUGGGAUUUUUGAUGAUUACGAUUUCAUUGAGUAAAUUUGAUUGGCUUGCAUCUGUGUUACUGGAGCCCGUGGGUUGGGUUAUGACCUGCAACUGAUUUGCCUAGUCUAAUAUAAUUGUCAUUUGUUUGGGCUCUUGAAGUACUGUCUAGUGUUGUUUGUAUUUCUUAGUGAAUUGAGUUUGCCGUUUGAUUUCAUUCUUCCCUGUGCGUACACCAGUGGUACUGGUUGUGGUAGUUGCCUAACAUUUAUUCAUUCUCAUUGGUGUGGCUGUUGGGAUUGAAAGCUCAGAACUUGUGACUAAGUUGUUAUUGCCUAAAUGCUGACCUGCUAUUACUAGACUUGCUGAUUUCUUGGGAGCAUUUGUUGGGAUUUUGGGUGGAUAUUAGCAAGUGGUAUAUUGCUUGAUUUUUUUUACCUGUGCCUUGCUUGGAGUUUCUAGUGCAUGUUUGGGGCUGCCUUGGGAGUUAUUUGCCACAAUUGAUUGCCGUUUUGGUUUCUUCUGUUUCUGGUACUGCUUGUGCUGAUGGAUUUAUCAGUGUUUUGGGCGGCUUAUUUGAAUUGCUUCUUCCCUGUGUGUUUGGUCAGCUGUUUGCUUGAAAACCCAAACCCUUGUGCUUAUAUUUGCUCCCAGUUGAGUUAUGUGUUGGACUUUCCAAUUGGUGACAACUUUUGGGCUUUAGGGGUGAGUUCAUUUUGUCAUUAUUUGCUACCUUGUUGGGGUCAUUUUUGGUUUCACCUGAGUCUAUUGUCCUGCCUUCUGUUUUGAGUCCAUUGGAGUGACGUGAGUUGAGUAAUUUCUGCUUUUGUUUGUUGAUUUGGAAGGCUACUGUGCCACUUUCAUUGCUUAUUGCUUAGUGAUUAUGUCUAAUUAACAAUGUGCAUAGCAUGGCGCAGAAUUUGGCAGCAUUCAUGUAGCAUGCCGGUCUUAUACCUCAAUUGGGUACCUCUAUUUGGUUGGCUGCGUUCUUAUUGUCCAAUAUCUAUGCUGUUUUCAAUGGAAUUGCUGAUCUUGGGUUAAGACUUUAGCUGGCCAACUGGAGCCAUUUGUUGAGAUUUUGGGUGAACUGCAAUACUGCACUCGUUUGUUCAAUUGGGAGGUUUCUUUUGGUAUUCUGGUUGAGUUAUUUCUAAAGUUGCCUGAUGAAUUGAGAGACAUAGAUGGCUAUUGCUCUGCCCUGAUAUUGCUUGGUUGCCAGUGCGCAUUCUCUAUGCCAAGUGGCAAGGAUGUCUCAGAACUCGGCUUCCCUCCACUGUUCCCUCCUAUCCCUUAGCUGUUCAGCAGGGAAGUCUCGUUAUCCUCUUCGCUUUAAUUAUUUUAUUACCUCCAUUGAGGACAAUGUAGGAUUUAGGUGUGGGGGGAGCAGUUAUGGUGCUAGUGUCUUUCGUUCAUUUUCUUUUUCUUCUUUUUAGUGAUUGGCUCGUAAGUGCAUGCCAAGGUUUGAUGUUGGAUUAUUGCCUCUAUUUCUACUUUUGCCAAGUUUUAAUAAUAAAAGGGUAUCAAGUUAAUGUGGUUGAAUCCAAAAACAUCUCUUUGGUGAAUAUCAAUAAUUGUUUUACUCUUAUAAUUUUUUGGUUAACUUUCCUAGGCAUAGGGAAUGAUUAUUGGCAUUUUUAGUGAAUUGGUCCGGUUAUUAACCUUAGUUCUCCAUGUUUGAAAAUGAGGCUAGCUGAUGCAAGUUUUCUUUUGGUUCUUGUGUUAUAUUGAGUUUUUGUGAUUUUUAGCUCUGAAUAAACUUGACUGUACUCCGCUAUUAGUUACUACUGAGUAACCGGGGAUCUGCACCUAAAAGUGUUGAUUCUCGCGUCAAAAGAUAGUAGUUCCUAUGAGUACGUGGUCACGUGGCGAUAGAAGCUGAGUAACCGGGCUCCUUCAUCUGGCCAAUGUUGGAAUUCGCGUCAAAAGGCUCUAAUGGCUAGCGACUAAGUCUUUUGUUACUAUUGAAAAAAAACGAGAAAGAAGAAGAAGAAAAAAAAAAGAAAAAAAAGAGAAAAGUAGAAAAAUGUGAAAGAAAAAGUGAAUGCUGUGUUAGUGUAUAAUAAAAGUCAGCUUGCCGAUUUAUGGAUUUAAUGUUGAGAUUUUGGUUAAUAGUUGGACCAUUUGCUGAUAACUGUUAUGCGUCAUUCCUUUUUCUUAGAUUGGUUAACAUGAAAUUAGAGGAAUUUAUGGUUUAGAAGCUAACCGGAGUGAUGUUUCUUGGACUAGACCAUUGAUGCUUGAUUAUUAUAUUUUCUUGGUAUCUUGGCAAUAUGGUAGAUGGAGUAAUAGCCAUUGGCAAGUGUUGGUGUUUAUUUGCUGUUCUCAUGCUUGAGGACAAGCAUGGUUUAGGUGUGGGGGGAAUUGAUAGGUUGCAAUUUUAUCAUUUAUUUUAUUAUUAAUUUUCCCUAUUACUUAACCCAAUGUGAAUUAAUUAUUAGAUUCUACUCACUUUUAGUAUUUUACAUAUAUUUCAGGGAGUAGAACGAAAAUACCAUAAUAAGUGUCCGAUUUGACAGUUAUCAGGAAAGAGUUCAAGUAGCAGGCAUCCAGGGCAUUUUUGGAACAAGGAGAUACAAGUCCUUUUUGGUAAUUCGCAGAGCAGCAGCAUUAAAAGGAGGAACGAAGGGCUGAAGUAGGGUCUUCUUCCGCCUGGGAGGAACCGCCGCACAGCAGAGGGCUGUCUGGUCCUCUUAGUUUUUCCGUUUCUUUAGUUUUAGCUUAGGAUUUUGACUUUUCUUCUCGUAGGAAUUUUGGGUAGCCUUUAGCUUAGCAACUUUUGUUGACCCUUUUUUGGCCUUUUAGCUAGUUUGUUCUUACGCAUGGAAGAUGGCUGAAUAGCUGAGGCUUGUUCUUUGUUUUUCUUUGACUUUUCCUUUUGGUUUGCUUCCUGCGGACGCCCAGACCGAAGGAAAACUAUGAAGUCCCUUUUGUAGCUUUCUCUCUUUAUUAAAUAGACGAAUUGAAUUCCUUCAACUUGCGAAUUGAUGGCCGCAGCUUUUGCUUCAAUUUCUUGUGGGUUUAGUUCAUUAAUUAUGAACUAAUUCUACAAUUCUAGUCAAGGGGACAACUGACGAUUUGGUUCGACAAUUACUGUGAGAUCGAAUCUGUUUUAAUUAUUUUCUUCAUUUAUUGGUAUUUAUAUGUUCCUUGAUUUUAAUUGCUAUGGCCUUGUGUAUGAUUGAUUAGUGCGCAAUAAUUAAUUAUUCAUAUAGGCUAUUUUUUGCUAAAUAGGGGUAAUUGAACCCGUAAUUGUUCGUUAUCUCUACCUCAGUAGCAACUGGCGUAAUUGGGUUUAUGUCAGGGGAGCAUAUGAUCUAGCUUAAACAAACCCUCGUAGCGUGUUUGUUGGUUAGGAUUGGGCCUUUCUAAUUAUUAAUGCAAUCUAGAAAUUAAAUCUUACGGUCGUACCUAGGGUUGUUUUUGGGUUAGAGAAAUAGCUAACGGUCGUACCUUAGCUAUCGAUAAAUUAAGGAAGGGUUGGUUGUUUAUCGCGUGCAGGACAACUAUAACCAAUCUAUUAAUAAAUGUUGGGAUUAUUUUUGCAUCAAUGAUCAGUGCAUGAACCAUUUCUGAAGUAUACCCUUGGCUAGAGUUUCUCUUAGUUAUUUCUUUUAAUUAAUUAUUUUCUGCAGUUAAUUUAUUUAGUUAGCAUUUAAUCCAAAACCCCCCAUACUUUGGACUCUAAAAGAAACAAUUACUCCCAGUCCCUGUGGAUUCGACCCUGCUCACCGCUAUCUACAGAAUUAAUUUUAGUUUGAGCAGGUUUUAUUAUUGUACAGGCUUCGACAACCUGUCAUUGAGCAUUUGAAAAGUGAAAUUUUUGUCCACCAAACUGCUUAUACCCGGAAGGUAUUAAAGUAGUUUUAUAUGGAUAAGGCAUAUACAUUAAGUACCCCAAUGGUCAGAUCAUUAGAUCCUAAUAAGGACCCUUUUAGACCGCGAGAGGAAGUUGAAGAGAUACUUGGUCCUAAAGUACCAUAUCUCAGUGCAAUUAGUGCACUAAUGUAUCUUGCUAAUUGUACAAGACCUGAUAUAUCAUUUGCAAUAAAUUUAUUAGCAAGAUUUAGUUCUCGCUCACAAGACGACAUUGGAAUAGUAUUAAACAUAUUUUUUGUUAUCUCCAAGGAUCAAUUGAUCUUGGCUUAUUUUAUUCAAAUAAAUCUAAACUUGAAUUGUUUGGUUAUGUUGAUGCUGGAUAUUUAUUUGGCCCACAUAAAGUAAGAUCUCAGACUGGUUAUCUAUUUACAUAUGGAGGUACAACCAUUUCUUGGCGAUCUACAAAGCAAUCAUUAGCUGCCAUUUCAUCGAAUCAUGCUGAAAUAAUAGCAAUUCAUGAAAUUAGUUGAGAAUGUGUUUGGUUAAAAUCAAUGACCCACUAUAUCCGGAAAAGUUGUGGGUUAUCCUCCGAAAAAGAAAAUCCUUCAACUAUAUUAUAUAAAGAUAAUGCAGCUUGUAUAACUCAAUUGAAAGGAUGAUAUAUUAAAAGAGAUAGAACGAAAUAUAUUUCACCAAAAUUCUUUUUUACUCAUGAUUUACAAAAGAAUGGUGAAAUUGAUGUGCAACAAAUCUGAUCAGAUAAUAAUUUGACAGAUUUAUUUACCAAUGCAUUGCCAACUGCAAUAUUUAAGAAAUUGGUGAAGAAUAUUGGAAUGCGACGACUAUAAGAUCUCAAAUGAUAUUUGCAUCCGGGGGAACAAUCAAUACACAAGAAUAGUGUACUCUUUUUCCUUCAUUAAGGUUUUUAUCCCGUUGGAUUUUUUCCUAGUAAGGUUUUAAUGAGACACAUUCUUUGUGUAAUGGACAUCCAAUGGGGAGUGUUAUGAAACAACUAAAAAUGUGGAUGCCCAUUUGUAUUCUCAAGAAGAUCAAUUCAUAAUUCAUUGCUUCCAAAAGGAUUAAUUCAUAAUUCAUUGCUACAUUAUAUAAAGGAAUUACAUUGGAUGAACGGUUUCAAUCCAUAAGAGCUAUUCAUGUAUUGGAUGAACCAUUUCAUAUGGUUAUUUAUGUUCUUGUAGUAAUGAGUGUUUAAUAGAAUUGAUGUACCUUUAAUUUUGUAGUACCUAUAUAUAGAGGUACCUUGGCACCUCUUGGAUGUACUUUUUGAUUAGUUGGAAUAAUAAAAAAAUCAUUCUCCAUUUCUGUACUUUUUUUUCUAAUAUUUUAAUUCCUAUUAUAGUAGUUCAUUUUUUUUUUAGUUUUACAACAUUACUCAAAGAAGAGGGUUAUUGGACUAUAUGUUUAUUGACCUCUACUAGGGAUGACAAUGGGGGCGGGUGACGGCAAUGGGGGCGGGUGACCGCGGGCACCCGUCCCGCGGGGGGCUAAUGGGGAGAGGGAUGGGGCCGGGGCGGGGGGUAGGGGAGUGUACCCCCGCCCCAUCCCCCGUCCCGCUACCCGCUUUAAAAAAAUAAAUAUAUAAAAUAUAUAUAGGUAUAUAAUUAUAUAUAUAAUAUAUAAUUUAAUUGGUUACAAACUUAUGAUAAUAAUAUUAUUAGUUAUAUGUAUUAUAUGAUGUCUAUUAGUAUAAAUAAUAUAAUUGAUAUUAUUAAUUAUACUAAUAAUUAUAUAUGUGUACUCAUACAAAUUAUUAAUUGGUUAUACUAAAUUUACUAAUACAUUUAUACUAAAUCCCUAAUUACACUUAAUACAAUAACAUUAUUUUCAUAAAAAAAACACAACCACAAUAAUGAAUUAGUGAUUGUAUUUGUACCAAAAGUGAAAAUUUGAUUACUUUAGUUAUAUUUUUUUCAUCAUGUUGGAUUGUAUUCAAAUAAUUUUUGUUUGAUUGUUUUUAUAAGUUUCAAUUGUAAAAUUGCAAUGAAUAAUAAUUUGAUGAUGUGUUGAUAUUUUAGUACUUGAUUAUUUGCUAAAAUUUAAUCAUAAUAAAAUUAUAUAACAAAUUUUUAUUAGCUCAGCGGGAGCACCCGCCGGAGAAGCGGGGCAGGGUGGGGACGGGGCGAGGGAAGCGGGGGAUGGGGGAGGGGUCCCCCGCCCCAACCCUCUUCCCCAUCUCCCGCCCCGUUGCCAUCCCUAACCUCUACUAACUUAUUUAAGGUCAUUUUAUAUCACUAUCCAAAGAAGAAUUAAGGUCAUUUUAUAUCACUAUCCAAAGAACAAUUCUUGGGCGUUAACAUUUUUCUUACAUGCCAAGACUAUUAAUGAAAGUUGACCCAAAUCUCUCUCUCUCUUUCUCUCAAUUCUUAGGACUGAUGCCAAUUCUUACCAUUUAGAAAGAAAAAUUAGAUUGUUUAUAUAUAUGAUGAGUUCCCUCUAAGUCAUGGUUAAGAAAAAUUCUUAGUUAGACGCAGUUUUAUGAAAUGUGAAUUUCCUUUUCUUUGUCUUUAUUCGUUAGUAUUAUUGGGGUUAUUGUAUUAUGAUUGCAAUGCACAGAUACAUGGAUUUUUGACAUUUUUUUCUCAUUUUUUCUUUUUAAUUGACUCUGACUAUGUCUCAAACUCGAGACAUCAAACCUGGAGAAGACUUUUGUCCAAAAUGCUUGUAAAAAUUCAGAAGAAUAAUGUUGGACCUUAUUAUUUAAUAAUGGUGCAAUUAUGAGAGUCAUUCCUGGUUUAAUUAUCAACAUCAUGUCAUUAUUAUUUUUUUGUUUCAUAGAAAAAUAAAGUAUUCUCCGACUCGACAUUAUCAUAUUAUUUUCAAUUGGCAGCUUUAAGUGAGAAAGGCCGGUGAAAAUUUUGGGCAUUACUAGUUUAUUUAGGCCUCACGCGCUCCGUGAAGGUGCCGACGUCAUCUUCGUUUUAAUGGAAAAAUUUGAGCGCGCUUUGAUCAUAAGGAAUUCACAAUCAUCGGGCCAACAAAGAAAGCACUAAAUGGUUAAAACAAACCAUGCAAAUUUGCUCAGCACUUAAACAAUAGACUCCUAAACCGACCAUUUUACUGUCUUGCCAAAAAAGGGCAUUAAAGUAAAAACAACCCAUGCCUAACACAACUAACAAACUUCAGCACCUUCACUUCACUGCCACGUCAUCAACAACAUCUGUAAAUUUCCAAGGAAGUCCACGCACUAAAGGUGCCAUGGGGGACCUCAGGUUAGUGUUCUUAACAUCAACUCCUGUCUUUAUAUUCUUAGGAAAUAUUGAAAUUAAACAUUAUAACUAAUCCUGAUUUCCUUAUGCUGUAUUUGUACACAAUUUGGCAACUUGAUAAAAAGUUUGUUCCAAUUUAUUCCAAUUUAAUUUGUCAGCUAGUCGAAUCUAAUUUGAAUAGUAUUUAACUUUGAAAUUUGAUAAAAAGUUUGUUCAAACUUGGUUUACUAAAUAAACAAGUUAAGUUUGAACAAAAUUUCAAACUUAUUAAAAUAAUUAAAUACGUUUGAAUACUAGGGUAUUCAAUUUAAUUAGACUCGUUUGCACCCAUAAUUAAAGCAUGCACUUUUUUAUAAAUUUAGGAAUCAACAUUAUCUAUUUGAUAGCUAGCUAAUGGCCCAAAAAGUUAAUUGCCUUAAAUUCUUUUAGCAGCCAUAAAGUAUAGUUGGAGGGAUUCCCUUGAAAUUGAUUAGAUUCUUCUAUGUGACUGUGACGUAUUACUAGUCCUACCCAAAAAAAAAUGGUAUUACUAGUCCUUUUUUCUUUUUGUGGCGUGCCACCGCCGUAGGGGGCGGGGAGGGCAGUCAGUGCGAGAAUUCUAGAUGGGGUAGAAGUAGCCAAAGUUCACCUUAUUCAAAGUAAACAACCGACAAUCUCAGUUGUCGACUUUCCUGUCGAUUGCGUAUAUAUUACUAUCUUUUACCAUGACUUUAGAGGAUACCUAAUUUUGCUUGCUAUUAAAUAAUAAUUCCUGGCACCACAUAAUUCUUUCAAGAACUACCAAAACCUUCUUGAAAUCCCUCUUUUUCCUUUUAGUUCAUUUCCAAGAAACAAAUUGAACCAUCAUGGCCCCUGUCACUUCCAGUUAUGAGGUCACCUCCUCAAUCCCUCCUGCAAGGUUGUUCAAGGCCACCAUCCUUGAAGAGAAGCAUCUUCACAAGAUCUUGCCACAGGGCGUUAAGAGUGUCGAAAUCCUUGAAGGAGAUGGUGGAGUUGGCACAAUUAAGUUGACCACAUUUGUUGAAGGUAAGAUAUCAAUACAAAGUGAUUAUUUUCACACAUUUGAAGUCCUCAAAAUGUUCUUUUUUUUUUUUAACAUUUUAUUUGUGGGGGUAAGUAUGUAUGUAAGCCCUAAUAACCUUUUUUUUUUUGUUGGGUUAAAUAUUUAGGUGGCGAGCUUAAGACUGCCAAACAGAGAGUUGAUGGAAUUGACAAAGAAAAAUUUACAUACAGUUAUACUGUACUUGAAGCUGAUGGAUUUAACGAUGUAAUCGAGAAAAUCUGUUGUGUCAUCAAAUUUGAACCCUCUGCUGAUGGAGGUUCAAUCUGCAAAACCACUAAUACAUACUACCCCAAAGGUGGUGCUCAGAUCAGUGAGGAACACCUCAAGGGAGGAAAAGAGAAGGGUUUGGGAAUGGUUAAGGCUGUUGAGGCUUACCUCCACGCAAAUCCUACUGCCUACAACUAAUUAAAAUGAAUGCUACUGAAGGACUCUUCGACAUAUUUUCUUCAAGAUUGAAGUAUAAACUGAGGGUGUCUGUUUCCUUUUUUGCUUGGUUUGCUUAAGCUGUUUGGUUAAGUUAUUCGCAGCAAGAGAAUAAAAUAAUUCACUUGCUGUUUUUAGAUAUGAAUUCAUGACUGUCAGUAGUCUAUAAAUACACUUAUUGCUCACCGCUCUUUGCACCGCAAAAUCUUUUCAAGAUCCAUCAAACCCUCCUGUUCUUGAUCUUUCUCCAUUUGUGAAAAAACAAAUUAAAGCAUCAUGGCCCCGAUCACUUGUAGUGCUGAGAUGACCUCCCCAAUGCCUCCUGCAAGGUUGUUCGAGGCCGCCAUCCUUGAUGACCACCUUCUUCCCAAGAUCAUGCCACAGGCUAUUAAGAGUGUGGAAAUCCUUGAAGGAGAUGGUGGAGUUUGAACCAUUAAUUUGAGCACAUUUGGUGAAGGUUAGAUGUUAUAUUAAAUGUAGAACCCCAAAUUUAAGGAUCGAAUAAUAAUCAACGCAUGUGGGGUUAUAGAAUUGAAGGGAUAAAACAAAUACUCAAAAUAUACGUGAAAGAAAAGAAAAUAAUAAAUUCAACUUACAAUAUUAUUAAAUUUUCAAACAAUGGAAAAAAUCAUACCACAAUAAAUUCAGCUGGUUCUAAUAAUAAUCAAAGCAUACAAGGUUACAGAAUUAAAAGGAUAAAACAAACGCUCAAAAUAUAUGUGGGAGAGAAGAAAAUAAUCAAUUCAACACACAAUAUUAUUGAAAUCUCAAACAAUGAAAAAAGUCACACCAUAAUAGAAAACCUUGCUUAUUCUUCUAGAUUCUUUCUCUUGAGAGACCAACCUAAAUAAUGUCCUAUUUAUAAUCUACCAAACUUGUUAAGAAAGAAACCACUUGCAUAAGAAAUUACGAAAUAAAUUAGAAAUUCCUAAAUCACACAACUACUAAAAACAUAACUCAAAUAAAACUAAAAAAUAAAUAAAUAUUUCUAGGCUUAGUUUAAUUUGUCAACAUUGCCUCCCUUAAACCAAAUUAUUCAUUGAGAUAGGUUCAACACCAUCUCGAGCAAUAAUUUCUAUGCAAAUCUAUGUUGUAGUACAUUUGACAUGAAACUCUAACUUGUUACCAGUUAUUAAUUUCAUUUUUACACGUAACAAUGGACGCACUAUAUAUUUUGUAAAAAAUUUCUCAGCAAUUUCUUCUUGAUCAAAGUACUCAUUUAUACAAACCCAUUCGUCACCAGAAUCACCAUAUUUACCACCAAUGUAAGUGCCUAAAAUUAAAAAAUCAUAGGUUGCUUUCUCGCUAAAGUUAUCAUCACCAAAUAAUUCAAAAUAACCACUACUACAAUUAUCCAAAAUUUUCAUACUGUCAGUCAACUCUUUUGGAGUAAAAUAUUUUUCAACUCCGAUGACAUCCAUAUCUAUCAAAUCAAACAUUCUCCCAUCACUUUGAAGAGAGUCCGAACCAACAAAUUUUUCAACAACAAUUUCAUGUUCUCUUCUUUUAUCAAAUCAAAAUUUUCUUCUUCUUUUGUCAAAUUACCAUAUUAUUUUUUUCAACAAAUUCAUUACUUCUAAUUUCUCCAAACAAGGUAUGCAAAUCAAAACUAUCAAUUGAUUCAAAAUUUUCGAUAUCACCCAUAUUAUGAACAAAUCUAUCAUUUUUAAAAUCCACAAACCAAUACCAACAACUAGACUUCAGUUUGAAAGCAUAAUUUCUCUCAAUCAUGUGCAAAACAUAGUAAAUAUCCUUCCAAAAUCUCUAAAGUAUUUUAGUAUGACCAAUAAAGGUUCUAUAAAUACUUUCUGCCAUUAUUUUACGCAUCACUUGAAAGAAUAAUUGUGCCUUUUUCUUAAAAACAUGUUUUGACAACUUACUUGCAUCAACCCAACAAAGAAUAUCAUCCAAAUUGCAUUGCUUGACAUAUUUUUCCACUGUUAAAAUCCAAUUAAAAUAUGUAUGUCUAUUUGUGCUUAUAGGAGUCAAUAUGAAAAAUUUUUCACCGUCAAUUAGAUCUUUAUAAUAUUCCAUUAUUUAACAAUUUCUAUACCUGAAUAAAUUUUUUUCCUCCAUCCUGUCAUGUUUUCUUGGCCUCCCUGGUUGACUAACCAAAUUAUUGUUGUAUGUAUACCCAUGCUCGUCAAACCUCAUUCGUGUACACUCGUAAGGAGUGGUUCUGAGCUUAUUGUGAAUGCUUAGUACCAAGAAGUAGAAGAGAGAAUGCAUAAGAGAGAAUUAACUUGGCUAAAGAAUUAGGAAACAAUUGAGGGAUUUUUUAAGAAAUUAAUUCUCCAACCGCCACUUUUGGAUCUUUUCUAUCUACAACUAGUUACCAAAACACUAGCACAUAGUAAGAAAUCGGGAUAAUUUCAGAAACCUCCCUUGAGGCUUUUAAUAAUCUCAAGAAGCUCCCCUCAAUAUUUUAAAAUUACACGUACCUUCCCUAUUGGAGCAAAAGUACUCUACUACCCCUAAUAGGAUACUCAAAAGACUUUUUUUAUGGGAAAAAAGAACCUCAGAAAUCCAAGCGAAAGCAAAAAAAUCAAUUUAUUUUCUCUUUUAGCCUUUAACGCUUUUGCCUUCUACCUUUGCUCACUUUCCCAUGCCAAUCUUCCUAUAACCACUUUCCCAAUCCCCUUUCCCCAACUUUUCUCCUCUACUUCAAGACUAAUUUUUGUCCAUCAAUCCUGGCUUGUGCUUUGUUCCAUUCCCUUCCCUUCUCCUUCUUUGAUUUCCCCUACAUCGCCCUUUCUCUUUGCAAAAGUGACUAGGCUCAUCUCUCUCUUUUUUCCCCUUAUUCUAAGUGUAGUGGGUUUGAUUAUUUUGCAUCUAUUUUAUUUGGUUUUGGUUGAUUAUGGGUGAUAAAACUUGGUGAUGUCAAAUAUCAAAAGUUUGAUAGAUGGAUAUUGGGCUUUAGACAAUGAUUUGCUAGAAAAAAAUGGCUGCAAUGAGAGGAAAAGGCAAGGGGAUUUGAAUGUGGGGUUGAUUGUUGAUGAAUUGUUGUUUUGGACAAAAUUUGAGGUUGAGUUUUGUCAAAUUUGGUAGCAAGUGGCGAGAUUUGUUCAGGUUUCGGGAAAUAAAUUGGAUUGUGGUUUCUUGGGCACCCACAGUUGUUGGAAUUGGUUUUGAUUCAAAUAAAGGUGGUUACUUGAUUUUCCUAAUAGUGUUGCUUAAGAGCACACGAUCAUCAAAAUUCCUUAUUUUUAUCUUUUUUUUUUUGUAGAAAAGAUUUCAUGACUUUCGUGAUAGUCUAAUUUGGAAGAAGGCAAUCAAGGGAUGCAAUCAACAUUUAGCAAAAGCUCUUGUUCUUUUCUUUCUAUUUUUUAGGGUAAAAAGGGUAGUUUAGGGUAUUUGAAGGAAAUGAUAGUCUAUUGGGUCUAUUUUGAAGCAUAAAUAGUGAACGUAAGGGAGGUUGGUGUAAUUUCUGAAACCUAAGGGGAAUUGUCUAAAUUGUCCGAGACCUCAGAGAAGGUUUUCGAAAUUAUCCCUAAGAAAUCAAAUGCGAAACUUGAUUAGUACACACACACACGACACUGCACCACGGCACGCGUGUGUUGAGAACUGAUGUCCGUAACCAACGACAAGCAGGUUUUCAAUUUUUUUUUCCUUUCCUGGAUUCUCCAGAGAUGGUGUCAGCUUCUAUUAUUGAUGAGCAGGAGGAAAUCCACAAUAUACAGUACACAUCACCCAUAUUCUUUUUAAUUGAACAAUGUAUGAAAUUAUGGUGAUUCGAAAUUAAAUUAUAUGUUUAUUGGGCAACGAAUCCAAAAUAAGAAUUGGAAAUGUAUUGUGGCAACAAUUGUUAACUUAGGCUACAAAUGAUCAAAAUAAAUAUUUAAGAUUUAAUAUGACAUUAUGGGUUCAAAAUAUAGUUACUUGUUAUGAAACAACUAAAAGUGUGGAUGUCCAUUUGUAUUCUCAAGAGGAUCAAUUCAUAAUUCAUUGCUCCCAAGAGGAUUAAUUCAUAAUUCAUUGCUACAUUAUGUGAAGGAAUUACAUUAGAUGAACGGUUUCAAUCCAUAAGAGCUAUUCAUGUAUUGGAUGAACCGUUUCACAUGGCUAUUCAUGUUCUUGUAGUAAUAAGUAUUUAAUAGAAUUGAUGUAUGUUUAAUUUUGUAGUACCUAUAUAUAGAGGUACCUUGGCACCUCUUGGCUGUCCUUUUUGAUUAAUUUGAAUAAUAAGAAAAUCAUUCUCUAUUUCUAUACUUCUUUCUCUAAUAUUUCAAUUCUUAUUAUAGUAGUUCAUUAUUUUUUUAGUUUUACAACACGUUAUCAGCACGAGUCUCUAUUUUUGAAUAAAAAACUGAAAAUGGAGCCUAUACCUUAAAAAAAGCAAAAAAUGUGAUUCUGCUGAAAUUCUGCAUGUAUUUUUCCGGCAACUUCUAUCUACUUAUUGAGAAAUGGAUGCCAAAUAUUUGGGAUUAAAUAAUGGUGAUGAUGACAUUUGUCUCAUUGAUUGUACUACUACGCACACUAUAUUGAAAAAAAAAAUUCUUGUAUGAAAAUGGGAGAGACAAAUGUUAAUACCAUAAGUGGUAGUGCAAAAUUGAUUGAAAGUUCUGGAAGAGCCACUCUAUUUCUUCCUGAAAGGACUAAAAUUGUCGUAAAUAAUGCACUACUAUCUCUCAAGUCUUGAAGAAAUUUAUUCAGUUUUAAAGAUAUCUGCGAAAAAUGGAUAUCAUAUCGGGACAAUAAAUGAGACAAAUGGAGAAUUUUUAUUAAUCACAAAUAUCAUUUCUGAGCAGAAAUACGUAGUAGAAAAAUUACCUUCUUUUUCUUCUGGCUUAUAUUAUGCACAAAUUAGUGCAAUUGAAAUUUAUCACCUAGGAGACCAGAAUUCUACUCAUCCCAAUAAUUUUAUGAUUUGGUAUGAUUGUCUCGAAAAUCCUAGAUAUAUAAUGAUGAGGCAAAUAAUUGAGAAUUCACAUGGUCACUCAUUGAAAAAUCAAAAGAUAUUAAAAGCAAAUAAAUUCUCUUGUGUUGCUUGUUCCCACGGAAAAUUAAUUAUUAGACCAUCACCAGUAAAAGUUGGGACUGAAUCCUCUACAUUUCUAGAACGAAUUCAUGAUGAUAUAUGUGGACUUGUAGAUCCACCAUGUGGACCAUUUCGAUAUUUUAUGGUGCUAAUUAAUGCAUUAACUAGAUGAUCACAUGUAUGUUUAUUAUCUACUCGCAACUUGGCGUUUGCGAGAUUGUUUGCUCAAAUAAUUAAAUUGCGAGCACAAUUUUCAAACUAUCCAAUAAAGAAAAUUCAUCUAGAUAAUGCUGGUGAAUAUUCGUCACAUGCUUUUGACGAUUAUUGCAUGUCCAUUGGAAUAACUGUUGAACAUCCUGUAACUUAUGUUCACAUUCAAAAUGGUUUAGCCGAAUCAUUUAUUAAAUGGCUAUAAUUAAUUACUAGACCAUUGUUGAUGAGAUCUAAACUUCCUUCAUUUGCUUGGGAACAUGCUAUAUUACAUGUAGCAAUACUUGUGAGAAUUAGAUCGACAAGUUAUCAUACUUAUUUUCCCCUAUAAUUAACUUUUGUUUUUGAGUCCAAUAUUUCUCAUUUACGAAUAUUUGGUUGUUCGAUUUAUGUUCUAAUUAUACCGUCCCAACAUCGUAAAUUAGACCCGCAAAGAAGAUUGGGGAUAUAUGUUGAGUAUGAAUCACCUUUAAUUAUUAAGUAUAUGGAACCAUUGACAGGUGAUUUAUUUACUGCGAGAUUUGCAGAUUGUCAUUUUGAUGAAUCACAUUUUUCGACAUUAGGGGGAGAUAAAAAUCAACCGAAAAAGAAAAUCACUUGAAAAAUAUCUUUGAAUUUCCUCGAUUCUCAUACCAAAGAAUGUGAACUAGAAGUUCAAAAGAUUAUACAUUUGCAAAAAAUUACAAAUCAAUUACCGGACGCAUUUAAUGACUCCAGAAAAGUUACUAAAUCACAUAUUCCUAUUGCAAAUGCUCCGAUUAAAUUAAUGUCUUUGAAGGACAAAUUACAAAUGUUAACGAGUCUAAAGCGUACCUAAAGCGUGGAAGACCUCUUGGUUCCAAAGAUAAAAAUUCUCGAAAGAAAAGAGGAGUAGAUGAAUCAACAAUUAGUGACAAAAUUCAACUUCCUGAAGAGGUCGCUCCUAAAGAGCCAAUUCUUGAAGAGAAUGAAAUUAUAGAAAAUUCAUUAAAUUUUGUCAUUUCAGGAAAAAGUUAGAAUCGAAAAGAAAUAAUUAUUGAUAGUAUUUUUGCAUAUAAUAUACCACUUGAUAUUAUGGUAGAGAAUAAGGAUCACGAGCCUAGAUAGGUUGAUGAAUGUCGACGUAGAAAUAAUUGGGCAAAAUGGAAAGAUGUGAUCCAAUCUGAAUUGAACUCACUGGUUAAAAGAAAAGUUUUUGGACCUGUAGUCCAAACACCUGAAGGUGUAAAGCCAGUAGGAUAUAAAUGGAUAUUUGUGAAAAAAAAAAUGAGAAAAAUGAAAUCGUGAGGUAUAAAGCAAGACUUCUAGCCCAAGAAUUUUCACAAAGGCUUGGAUUUGAUUAUGAUUACACGUAUUCACCUGUAGUGGAUGCUAUCACAUUUAGAUAUCUUGUGAGUUUUGCAGUACAUGAAAAAUCAGAUAUGCAUCUAAUGGACGUCGUUACUGCAUAUUUAUAUGAAAAUCUUGAUAAUGAUAUUUAUAUGAGAAUCCCCGAAGGAUUCAACAUGCCUGAAGCAUACAAAUCAAAUCCUAAAGAUAUUUAUUCUAUUAAAUUACAAAGAUUUUUGUAUGGGCUUAAACAAUCUGGACGUAUGUGGUACUGCCUCAAUGAAUGUUUAACUAAAGAAGGCCAUACCAAUGAUCCAAUAUAUCCAUGUGUCUUUAUCAAGAAAAAUGGAUCAAAUUUUGUGAUAAUUGUUAUAUAUGUUGAUGAUUUAAAUCUGAUUGAAACUCUUGAAGAGAUUAGUGUUGAAUAUUUGAAGAAGAAAUUUGAGAUCAAAGAUUUUGGAAAAACAAAAUUCUGCCUUAGUUUACAAAUUAAGCAUUUGAAAAGUGAAAUUUUUGUCCACUAAACUGCUUAUACCCCGGAAGGUAUUAUAGCAGUUUUAUAUGGAUAAGGCACAUACAUUAAGUACCCCAAUGGUCAGAUCAUUAGAUCCUAAUAAGGAUCCUUUUAGACUGCGAGAGGAAGAUGAAGAGAUACUUGGUCCUAAAGUACCAUAUCCCAAUACAAUUGGUGCACUAAUAUAUCUUACUAAUUGUAGAAGACCUGAUAUAUCAUUUGCAAUAAAUUUAUUAGCAAGAUUUAGUUCCUCGCCCACAAGACGACAUUAGAAUGGUAUUAAACAUAUUUUUCGUUAUCUCCAAGGAACAAUUGAUCUUGGUUUAUUUUAUUCAAAUAAAUCUAAGCUUGAAUUGCAUGAUUAUGCUAAUGCUGGAUAUUUAUCUGACCGGUAUAAAGCAAGAUCUCAGACUGGUUAUCUAUUUAUACAUGGAGGUACAGCCAUUUCUUUGCGAUCUACAAAGCAAUCGUUAGCCGCCACUUCAUCGAAUCAUGCUGAAAUAAUAGCAAUUCAUGAGGCUAGUCGAGAAUGUGUUUGGUUAAGAUCAAUGACCCACUAUAUCCGUAAGAGUUGUGGGUUAUCCUCCGAAAAAGAAAAUCCUCCAACUAUAUUAUAUGAAGAUAAUGUAGCUUAUAUAACUUAAUUGAAAGGAGAAUAUAUUAAAGGAGAUAGAACAAAACAUAUUUCACAAAAAUUCUUUUGUACUCAUGAUUUACAAAAGAAUGGUGAAAUUUAUGUGCAACAAAUCCGAUCAGAUAAUAAUUUGACAGAUUUAUUUACCAAUGCAUUGCCAACUGUAAUAUUUGAGAAAUUGAUGAAGAAUAUUGGAAUGCGACAAUUAUAAGAUCUCAAAUGAUAUUUGCAUCAGGGGAAGAAAUCAAUACACAAAAAUAGUGUACUAUUUUUCCAUCACUAGGGUUUUCGUCCCAUUGGAUUUUUUCCUAAUAAGGUUUUAAUGAGGCAUAUUCUUUAUGUAAUGGACAUCCAAUGGGGAGUGUUAUGAAACAACUAAAAGUGUGGAUGCCCAUUUGUAUUCUCAAGAAGAUCAAUUCAUAAUUCAUUGCUCCCAAGACGAUUAAUUCAUAAUUCAUUGCUACAUUAUGUAAAGGAAUUACAUUGGAUGAACGGUUUCAAUCCAUAAGAGUUAUUCAUGUAUUGGAUGAACCAUUUCAUAUGGCUAUUUAUGUUCUUGUAGUAAUGAGUGUUUAAUAGAAUUGAUGUACGUUUAAUUUUGUAGUACCUAUAUAUAGAGGUAUCUUGGCACCUCUUUAGUGUACUUUUUGAUUAGUUGGAAUAAUAAAAAAAUCAUUCUCCAUUUCUGUACUACUUUCUCUAAUAUUUCAAUUCCAAUUAUAGCAGUUCAUUUUUUUUUUUGGGUUUACAACAUUACUCAAAGAAGAGAGUUAUUGGACUAUAUGUUUAUUGACCUCUACUAACUUAUUUAAGGUCAUUUCAUAUCACUAUCCAAAGAAAAAUUCUUGGGCGUUAACAUUUUUCUUACAUGCCAAGACUAUUAAUGAAAGUUGACCCAAAUCUCUCUCUCUCUUUCUCUCAAUUCUUAGGACUGAUGCCAAUUCUUACCAUUUAGAAAGAAAAAUUAGAUUGUUUAUAUAUAUGAUGAGUUCCCUCUAAGUCAUGGUUAAGAAAAAUUCUUAGUUUUAUGAAAUGUGAAUUUCCUUUUCGUUGUCUUUAUUCAUUAGUAUUAUUGGGGUUAUUGUAUUAUGAUUGCAAUGCACAGAUACAUGGAUUUUUGACAUUUUUUUUCUCAUUUUUUCUUUUUAAUCGACUCUGACUAUGUCUCAAACUCGAGACAUCAAACCUGGACACGACUUUUGUCCAAAAUGCUUGUAAAAAAUCAGAAGAAUAAUUUUGGACCUUAUUAUUUAAUAAUGGUACGAUUAUGAGAGUCAUUCCAGGUUAAUUAUCAAACUUGUAACUUGAAAAUAAUGUCGACAUCAUGUCAUUAUUAUUUUCUAGUUUCAUAGAAAAAUGAAGUAUUCUCCAACUCGACAUUAUCAUAUUAUUCUCAAUUGGCAGCUCAUGUGAGAAAGACAAGAAAUUCACAAUCAACUGGCCAAGAGAGUGCCAACAAAGAAAGCACUAAAUGGCUUAAACAAAGCAUGCAAAUUUGCUUAGCACUUAAACAAUAGACACCUAAAUCAACCAUGUCACUGUCUUGCCAAAAAAGGGCAUUAAAGUAAAAACAACUCAUGCCUAACACAGGUAACAAACUUCAGCACCUUCACUUCACCGCCACGUCAUCAACAACAUUUGCAAAUUUCCAAGGAAGUCCACGCACUAAAGGUGCCCAUGCCCUUAGGGGACCUCAGGUUAGUGUUCUUAACAUCAACUCCUGUCUUUAUAUUCUUAGGAAAUAUUGAAAUUAAACAUUAUCACUAAUCCUGAUUUCCUUAUGCUAUAUUUGUACACAAUUUGGCAACAAGGUUGUCCUUUUUUGGGCCAAAUUGGACAAGUAAAAAAAAGAAAAUUAAAAGGUUUAUCUGCAAACUGUAGUUCGGCCUGCCUCUUUUUUUUUUUUUUUUGGGGAUAAGAUCGUCAUGUAUCAAUAUUUCUGUACUUAGCAUUGGCUUCUUCUCGCCUGAAGAACACACGAACCACCGGAUGAAAGUGGUGAAUGAAAGUGCACUUAACCCUUUUAAUUUUUCAAAACAAUGCUUUUAGAAAAAAUAAUAAAGACUUUUUUGAAUUUAAUUUUAGAGAAGAAGAAUUUUAAACUUUUUUGAAUUUAAUCUUACAGAAGAAGAAGUUUAAAAUGUACUUUAAUUUUCACAACUGAUGAUGAGAAUAGCAAAAUGUAUACGGACGGUGACAAAAGUGCCGUCUUAUCCUUUUGCUGACGGCCCGUUUUCCAAUGAGAGGAUGCCUCUGCUUCGUAUUUUAUCCAUAUUGAUAUAUAUUCUUUUCUGUCCCCCUAACUAUUAAAUGUGAAAGGUUGCCCACCAAAUUUGACGAAACCGUUUAUCCUAAUUGAUUAUUAUCCAUAGGGCAUAACUUUAAUAUUCUUCUUCCAACCCGUCCGUCAAUGACCACUAACCACCUCUAAUCUAUUCUCAAAUUUUAAUGAAAUUGCGCAAUUAGUUUUCAUUUCUCACUUUUAUUUCAAAUUUGGUCUCAAUUUAAUGUGAAUCCCAAUAAAUAAGACCGGAGUUGAAAUCAAAGAACGUAUUUCAAUCACCAUCGGAUAAAUUCUUCAUGUCUAGUUUUGUCCUUGAGAUGCAUAGAAAAUGUAAGCUGAUCUUGCAGUCUACGAGAAAAACGAAGUCUAAGAGAAUAAUUUUGUCAAAACUUGACAAUGGAAUGAACCGGUGGUCGCUGGUUGGCAGCUGCUAGAAGUCAUAGCAGUUUUAAAACAUAAUUGCAGCAAGUAAAAGAUUAAAACUACGUUGUGUACUGUUAACGACUUACAUUGACAAAAUGGUUAAGGACAGAGUUGAAAGAUGAAUCAAACUGUUCGACAUUCGAUUCGAAUUUGACUUGGUAAAAACUUAUUCCAAUUUGAUUUGUCAGCUAGUCAAAUCUAAUUUAAAUAGUAUUUAACUUUGAAACUUGAUAAAAAGUUUGUUCAAACUCAGUUUACUAAAUAAACAAGUCAAAUUUGAACAAAAUUUCAAACUCAUUAAAAUAAUUAAAUACGUUUGAAUACUAGGAUAUUCGAUUUAAUUAAAUGCGAUUGCACCCCUAAUUAAAGCAUGUACUUUUUUUAUAAAUUUAGGAAUCAACAUUAUACAUUUAAUAGCUAGCUAGAGGGUCAAAAAGUUAAUUGCCUUAAAAUUCUUUUAGCAGCCAUAAAGUAUAGUUGGAGGGAUUCCCUUGAAAUUGAUUAGAUUCUUCUAUGUGACUAAAGAAUUUCGGGUGUGACGUAUUACUAGUCCUACCCUAAAAAAAAUGGUAUUACUAGUCCUUUUUUUCUUUUUUAGCGUGCCCCCGCCGUGGAGUGUGGGGAGGGUGGUCUGUGCGAGAAUUCUAGAUGGGGUACAAGGUGCCAAAGUUCACCUUAUUCAAAGUAAACAACCUUCCAUCUCAGAUGUUGAAUUUCCUGGCAAUUGCGUAUAUAUUACAAUCUUUUACCAUGACUUUAGAGGACAGCUAAAUUUGCUUGCUAUUAAAUAAUAUUUUCGGUAGUCUAUAAAUACUCUUGGUCCUAACUGCUUCUUGCACCACAUAAUUCUUUCAAGAACUACCAAAACCUUCUUGAAAUCCCUCUUUUUCCUUUUAGUUCAUUUCCAAGAAACAAAUUGAACCAUCAUGGCCCCUGUCACUUCCAGUUAUGAGGUCACCUGCUCAAUCCCUCCUGCAAGGUUGUUCAAGGCCACCAUCCUUGAAGAGAAGCAUCUUCACAAGAUCUUGCCACAGGGCGUUAAGAGUGUCGAAAUCCUUGAAGGAGAUGGUGGAGUUGGCACAAUUAAGUUGACCACAUUUGUUGAAGGUAAGAUAUCAAUACAAAGUGAUUAUGUUCACAAAUUUGAAGUCUUCAAAUUGCUCACUUUUUUUUUCUUUUAUUUGGGAAAAGCUAAUGACUUUUUUUUUUUUUUUUGGUUGGGUUAAAUAUUUAGGUGGCGAGCUUAAGACUGCCAAACAGAAAGUUGAUGGAAUUGACAAAGAAAAAUUUACAUACAGUUAUACUGUACUUGAAGCUGAUGGAUUUAACGAUGUAAUCGAGAAAAUCUGUUGUGUCAUCAAAUUUGAACCCUCUGCUGAUGGAGGUUCAAUCUGCAAAACCACUAAUACAUACUACCCCAAAGGUGGUGCUCAGAUCAGUGAGGAACACGUCAAGGGAGGAAAAGAGAAGGGUUUGGGAAUGGUUAAGGCUGUUGAGGCUUACCUCCACGCAAAUCCUACUGCCUACAACUAAUUAUAAUGAAUGCUACUGAAGGACUCUUCGACAUAUUUUCUUCAAGAUUGAAGUAUAAACUGAGGGUGUCUGUUUCCUUUUUUGCUUGGUUUGCUUUAAGCUGUUUGGUUGAGUUAUUUGCAGCUAUGAUCAUAAUAUUUGAUCGAAGUGUGCUUUUCUUGCAAC